rnacentral:lncRNA from 1 species
CUGCAAUUGGGAUAAAAUCCCAGGCAUUUUCAGGUUAGCUUCCUGUGCAACCUCACCAGUUGAAGAUCUGAAAUCAAAUCGAUCUGCACGUCUAAGCUUAAACCUAAUUGACAAAUUUCCAUAUGAUUUUACAGUUGUGUGCCAGAUUUGACGAAUUUCCAUAUGAUUUUGCAGUUGUGUGCCAGACACCGGUAACAGCAUAUUGACUCCCUGAAGAAUCCUCGCCAAAGGGCCAUCUCAACCCACCCUUAACUUCUGAGUCUAAAACGGCAGAACCAAUAAGAUUUUUAAUUUCAUUGAUCUCAUCAUCCUGGAAAAAAGCAGAGAGUAAUCUAUAUAAGAACACAUUCUUAAGCUAUAGAGAUAACACUACCGGUGUCCUUUCAGUUGAGAGUGCAGAAGUCAUGAUGAGAAGAUGGAAAUUAACGUGCAUAUAAAAUAAGUUACACAGGAAAAGGUCCUUGUUCACUGGAGUGGAGGUAAAAUAUGGACAUUAAAAGUGCAGACAAAAUUCACCGGUACUCUAAAAUCUAUAGGUUUUGUUAAUACCUGUACUUGCCAAUGUAACUAUCAAAAGUAUCAUCCCUGGUACUAUAUGACCGGACAAUUUAAAGGCAUUAGACUAGAAGAAACAUCAAAGGAUACCUCAUUUUCCAACUAAAGGAAGUCUGAUUACUUGGUGUGUAACUUCACCUUUGGUUGGGUUUUCGAAGCCCUUAAAUCUUAUUAAGAUAAGGGUAGCUACUUUGAGAUCCCAAUGAAAAUCAAACUCAUUAAGUAACCACACUAACACUGAAUGCAUAUGAAGAAUAUCUUCAUUUCUACUUUUUGCCUCUGUAUCCUUUUCCUUUUUUUCUCUUCUACUUACCCUCCUUUGGAUUUCAUUGUAGAAAUGAUUCAUAUCUAGCUCAAUCCAGUAACUAGAGGACUCCAAUAACACGCAGUAUUUGAGCAUCUUAACCCUACUGGAGUUCAUAUGGUCAGCCCAAUAGGCUAUUCACUUUGCUGUUCACAAACAUCUAAUCCGACCCCAAAUCCACGAAACAUGAAAAAACAAGAAAUUUCAACCAAGAGUAAUUAAAUGGAGAUGUUUCCAGUUUCGGAAAAUAUAAAUCCAAAAAUUGGGUGGAACUUACAAAUAUGAGUAUACGACCUAUGACUUUCAAGAUAUUUGAUCCAAAAUGAAGUAACUUACAGAUGAACCCAUCAUGAUUUUCUUGGUAUGUAACAUCAACCUCAGGUCUAAGCUUUUGCCAAAACAGCUCAUGUCUGCAACCAUGUUGCGUAUUUGGUUCAGCUCAAUCUAAAAGAAAAGGCGUAGCAUCAGAAGAUUGAUAAGGAAUGACAAACUGCAAGAAGUAAAGCAUGCAAAAAGAUAGGUAAGAAAGAGGAGGUAAAUAUGUUCAUGACAACAAUUAAUGUUGUUUUGCUAGUUGGAAAAUAAACAGUUAAUUGGGCAUCUUACAAGUUCAUUAAGAACCGGGGAACAGAGGACUAACCUUAUGGAGCUGAAUUUUCUCCUGAUCCUUGACCACCGUACAUUUGCAGGUGACAAUUGAAUCAGCGUGCAUGUUGUCUGAAAGCUACAAAGCACAAGGGAUAGUACUAAAAGAACCAACACAUAAAGAGAAAGAAAUUUGUUAGAAACAUGAAAAUAUUACCUUGACAUAGUAUAAUUCCUUCUCUUCCACACAUUCUAAGGCAAGUUUUUCAACUGCAAGGUUUCGUAUAUAUUCCAUAUAUGAAAGAGGAACAUUGGUAUAGAAAGUUUUUUUCAUUUGCCUCAACGUAGUCUCACUUAAUAGGUUACUUUUCAGGGAUUCUUGACUUUUUGCAGAAAUCCUACAAGACAGAAUUUGAGGAGGAUUACAUGUUAAACACACACUGGAUUUAAUCGACUCAACAAAAGAAGAAACAUUAUAACAUCUAGGAGAAAAGUUAAAAGAGUUACAUGUCACAGUAAAAUAAGUCAGCGAUUUACAGAACUUGUAGUUUUAGGUAAGUUCUAAUUUGCCUUACAAGACAAAAAAUUGUGUACUAUAAUAAAAUGGAUUUGAAUAAAACUGAUUAUGAGAAAUGAACAUUACUAACCCAUGAAACAGAAUUCUUCCAAAACGAGCAACUAGAUUCAGCUUCAAUUCUUCCAUAUUAGAUUUCUCCAUUUCACAUUUCACAUGUUGAAAUGACAAAAGUAAGUCCUCCAUCAUACUAUUAGCCCCCAAACGCCAUGGCUCAUCCAUAAGCUCAUUUGUUCCUCCACUGCAACCUAAAAAAGUAGAUAUAUUACAGAAUUAAGAUCUCAAAAACAGAGAAAAAAGAUUUUACAUUGUUUGAAACCCUGAUCUACCAAACUCAAGAAAAUCAGAAGCAUUUAUCAAAAGAACAAAAAAGUAGUAAUACCUUGCAUUAGGACCAAACGAAGAGGAUUUGCGUCAGAUUUUUGGUCGAUAGAAAGAGGUUGGAGCUUCACAAGAGAUGAAAAGUGAGAAUCAUCAGUCAAACCAACAGGGAACCAUUUCCUAACUGCACCAUCAGCAUAACGGGUCUCAAACAGAAACUUUUCCUUUCUCUUGAAAUUAAGGUUUUUUCUGAAAGCAGGUAUGAGGGAUUCCGGUGCGGGAGUUGGUUCCAGCGACGGCGAACCCUUUGUGUGCCUCUUGUGUGGUGGAAUGUAAGACAUGGCUCAGUACGAUCAGUUGCUCAGAGAGACUGUUCAGUUGUAGACUACACUAUAGUCUUCUUAAAAGGGAAAAUACAUGAAAGAGUGUUUGGAUUGGCUUACAAUAAAGUUACUAAUGAUAUUCCUUUCAAUUUUAUUAGACAGCAAGAAAGGUAGUUUGACGGAUGUAUGAUACUUUUGUCACCAAUUUGAAUAGUUUUGAUAUAUUUCACAAUUUAUGUAAUUUUAUGUUUAUGUGUACAAAAAUAUAUAAUUUUAAUAUUCAAAUUAUUUGUCUAAAUAAAACUUCAAUAUUUCCUCCUAGGUGAUUCAAAUCAUUAUUUCAUCUUACCUGGCCAGAGGGGGGUUUAUGAAAAAGUUCAAACAAAAUAACCAAAAAUUAUAAAUUUGCAACAAUUAAAAAAUAUUUUAAAUUUUAUUUUAUAAUAAAAGAAUAUUGAAGUUUAGGUUAUAAAACACUUACUUAAUUUAUGAAAAUAUUUAAAGAACAAAAUGAAAUGCAAUUGCAUGCAGAUUAGACCAAUUGCAUGUUGUAAUGUAAUAUACAAAUGUAUCUCAAAAUAUGAUUUGUAGUAGACUAAAAUAUGUUGUGAGUCAUCUAGUAGCUGAGAAUCAAGCUAUAUUUGUGUAAGGAAGAUCAAUGGUACUUAAUAUCUUGAUAUUUCAUAAUAUGUUGAGACAUUAUAACAGAAAGACUACUCCUAGAUGCUUGGUGGAGAUAGACCUCAGGAAAGCAUAUGACAUGGUGAGCUGGGAAUUUUUGGAGGAAGCUCUGAGAAGAUUUUGAUUUCAGAAAGUGUCAUUAAAUGGAUAAUGGUAACAACAAAGUUCACUUUUAAGAUCAAUGGAGAAGGUUAUGGUUACUUCAAUGGAAAUAGAGGAUUGAGACAAGGAUACCAUGUCCUCCCUCUACUCUUUGUACUAAUUAUGGAGUACCUAUCAACGCUGCUCAAGAGCAUGACCUAUCUAUCAGAUUUCAAAUUUCACCUAUGUGUAAAGCUUUUAGGCUGAACCACCUUGUCUUUGUAGAUCAUCAAAUGACCUUCUGUAAAUGAGAUGUCAAAUUUGUUACCAAAGUCAUGGAAACAUUAGUUCACUUUAGUGUUAUUACUGGACUUGUGUCCAACAUGAAAAAAUCUAGCCUUUUCUUAGCAGGAAUGAAUAAACAAGCGAAUAACCAACUCGUGGAGAUUACUGGAUUUACACAAGGAUCUUUCUCCAUUAGAUAUUUGGGACUCCCACUCACAUCUAAGAGGUAGGGUAAACUUGAAUAUCACCAACUAGUUGAUAAGAUAACAAACAUGAUAUAAAAUGUCUAUGCAAAACAACUCUCUUAUGCAAGAAGGCUCCAAGUGGUUCCGGCUGUCUUGUUUUCAAAUCAUAAUUUUUGGGAAUCAAUGUUCAUUCUUUCUCAAAGUGUUGUGAAGGAGGUGGAUAGGAAAUGUAGAGACUACUUGUGGGGUGGAACUGAGGAAAAAAGGAAAGCACCAUUGGUAUCUUGGGAGAAGAUGUGCUUCCCAAAGAGACAUGGUGGUUUGAAUAUUAAAGGAUGUGGGAAUUGGAAUGUGGCUUAUGUAGGCAAGCUUAUAUGGCAGCCAGAUGUGAAUAGGGAAUCAUUAAGGGUGAAAUGGGUGAAUGGGAUAUACAUCAAAGCAGAGACAUUUUGGAACCAUAGAGCACCAUGAGAGAGCAGUUGGUACUGGAGGAAAAUAAACUCUUUGAAGAACAAAAUGCAACAAUGGUACACACAAAAGGCAGUUCAACCUUACUGCUAAAUGGGAACUAUUCUAUCACAAGUAGUUAUACUGAGUUGACAGGUAACCAAGCCAAGCUGGAGGUAGAAGAGUUAGUUUGAAAUUCAGUGUCACUGUCAAGACAAAGGUUCAUUAUGUGGUUAGCAAUAUAAAAUAAAUUGCUUACAAAGGAGAGACUGUUGAAUAUGAACAUACAAGUAGAAAACAGUACAUGUUGCAUGUGUCAAGACUAAUCCAAUUUAUUUGGAGUUUAUUUUAUUAAAUUAAUCUUAUUAAUAUAUUUUGAAAAUUUAAACUUAGAUGUCAUUACUGUGAGAAAUAUAGGAGAAAAUAUAUUAUUGAAUUGUGUAUCUACAUUAUUACAUUGAGACUCUAUUUAUAGACACUACAUUGGAAUCCUUUUCCAACUAGGAUUCCUAUUUCUAUUCCUAUUCUAAUUAGGAUUGUAUAUACUUAUUCCUAUUCUAACACUUCCCCUCAAGCUGGUGCAUACAAAUCAUAUGUACCUAUCUUGUUACAGAUGUAAUUAAUACGAGGACCGGUGAGGAACUUGGUAAAGAUAUCUGCAAGCUGAUCAUUUGACUUCACGAAUUUCGUAACAAUAUCUCCUGAGAGUAUCUUUUCUCUGACAAAGUGACAGUCAAUCUCAAUGUGCUUAGUCCUUUCAUGAAACACUGGAUUUGAUGCGAUAUGAAGAGCCGCUUGAUUAUCACAGACAAGUUCCAUUUGACCGAUUUCACCAAAUUUUAGCUCUCCCAACAAUUGUUUGAUCCAAACUAGCUCACAAGUUGUUGCCUCCAUUGCUCGAUAUUCUGAUUCUGCACUAGAUCGAGCAACCACACUCUGUUUCUUACUCUUCCACGACACCAAAUUACCUCCUACUAAAACAAAAUAUUCGGGUGUCGAACGUCUAUCAGAGGGUGAUCCUGCCCAAUCAACGUCUGUAUAUCCAGUGAUAUGCUCAUGGCCUUGAUCCUCAAAGAGUAGUCCUUUAUCGGGAGCUGACUUUAUAUAUCGCAGAAUACAAACAAUUGCUUCCUAAUGACUAUCACAAAGGGAAUUCAUAAACUGACUUACAACACUCACAGGAAAAGAGAUGUCAGGUCUAGUCAUUGUGAGAUAGUUCAACUUUCCAACCAGCCAUUGAUACCUUUUAGGAUUACUAAGUGGCUCCCCCUGUCCUGGAAGGAGUUUAACAUUUGGAUCCAUAGGAGUGUCAAUGGGCCUAUAGCCCAUCAUUCAUGUCUCCUCAAGAAUGUCUAAGGCAUACUUGCGUUGAGAAAUAACAAUACCUGAUCUAGACUGAGGAGCCUAAAUACCUAGAAAAUACUUUAGUCUAUCAGGGUUGUUAGUCUGAAAAUGCUUAAAGAGAUGUUACUUCAAAUUAGUGAUACCAUCUUGAUCAUUGCAGUGAUAACAAUACGAUCAACAUAAACAACCAAAUAAAUACACUGAUUUAGUACAGAAUGUCGAUAAAACAUAGAGUGAUUCAGCUCCACUACGAGUCAUGCCGAACUCCUGAAUUACUUUGCUAAACUUUCCAAACCAGGCUCGAGGAGACUAUUUUAGACCAUAGAGUGACUUACGCAAUCGACAUACAAGGUUACUAGACUCUCCCUGAGCAACAAAACCAGGUGGUUACUCCAUAUAGACUUCUUCCGCAAGAUCACCAUGAAGAAAAGCAUUUUUAAUGUCCAAAUGAUGAAGAGGUCAAUGACGAACCGCAACCAUGGACAGAAAAAGAUGAACAUAUGUUAUUUUAGCUACGGGAGCGAAAGUAUCACUAUAAUUGAGUCCAAAUAUCUAAGUAUACCCUUUGGCAACAAGACGAGCCUUAAGCCGAUCAACCUGACCGUCUGGACCAAUUUUGACUGCAUAAACCCAACGACAAUCAACAAUAGAUUUACCUGUUGGAAGGGAAAUAAGCUCCAAAGUACCAUUCGUAUGUAAAGCAGACAUCUCAUUAAUCAUAGCCUGCCUACAUCCAUGAGAAAGUGCCUCAGCUGUAGUCUUAGGAAUGGAAAUAGAGGACAAAGAUGAUACAAAGGCAUAAUGGGGUGAUGAGAGACGAUGAUAACUCAAGAAAGUAUAAUGUGGGUUAACAUUUCUAGUGGAUCGUAUACCUUUUUAAAGUGCAAUCGAUUAACUAGGAGAAGGCAAGUCCGCAGUAGGAGCAAGGUCCGGCGCAUGAUAUGAAUCAUCUGGGACUAGUGUUGGGCGCCGACGACGAUGAUAAGUCAGAAGUGGUGGCACUACCACAGGAGAUGUAGAAGUAACUAUAGAUUCCUCAAACGUCGAUACAGGCAAGACCUGAGGUAUGGGUAAGACCUCAGAGACAUCAAAAUGAUCAGAAGAUGUAUAAUAAGGUUGAGACUCAGAGAAUGUGACAUCGGCGGACAUAAGGUAUCUACGAAGAUCAGGUGAAUAGAAAUGGUACCCUUUUUGAACUCGAGAGUAACCAAGAAAGACACAUUUGAGAGCACGAGGGGCUAAUUUAUCUUUACAUGGGGUUAAGUUAUGAACAAAACAUGUACUCCCAAAGACACGAGGGGGGGAUAGAGUAUAGAUGUAAGUGAGGAAAUAAUAUGGAAUGUGGAACCUAAUUUUGAAUAGAAGAUGAGGGGAUUGUCUAAAUUAAAUAACAAGAUGCAAGGACUGCAUCGCCCCAAAAAUGCAGCGGAAAAUGGGAUUCAAUGAGGAGAGUACAAACAGUCUCAAUGAGAUGCAUAUUCUUCCUUUCAGCUACACCAUUUUGUUGAGGGGUAUACUGACAAGAUGUUUGGUGAAUAAUUCCUUGGUGAGUCAUAAAUUCCUGAAACUGAGAGGAUAAGUAUUCUAAGGCAUUAUCACUACAAAAAGUACGAAUAGAAACAUUGAACUGAUUUUGUAUUUCAGCAAGUAAACUUUUGAAUAUAGAAAAUACUCAGAAUGAUCUUUCAUUAAGAAAACUCAAGUGCAUCUUGAAUAAUCAUCAAUGAAACUAACAAAAUAACGAAAACCUAAGGGUGAACUGACUCUACUAGGACCCCAAAUAUCAUAAUGGACUAAUGAAAAAAUAGACUCUGAACGACCCUCAGUACUACGGGAAAAUGUAGCACGGAUGUGUUUCCCAAGUUGACACGACUUACAAUCUAAUGUGGAUAAACUAGACAAACUAGGCACCAUCUUCUAUAGUUUAGAUAGACUCGGAUGUCCCAAACGUUUGUGAAUUAGGGCUGGAGGAUCUAUAACGGAGCAUGCUGUGAAGGAAUUUGAAGAGGUAAGAUAGCAAAGGCCUUAUGAUUCAUGUCUUGUGCCAAUCAUAUGUCUCGUACUGCGGUCCUGCAUGAGAAAAGAGUCAUAAAAAAAAGUUAUGCCACAAUGUAAGGCACACGUCAAACGACUAACAGAUGCUAGAUUGAAAAGAGAACCAGGGACAUAAAGAACAGAGUCUAGAGGGACAGAAGAGAGCGGUUUGGCUUUUUCAACCCCUUUUGGUUUUGUUUGGAUCCCAUUGGCUAAAGUAAUAGUAGGAAGAGAUUGUGAAUAAACAAUAUCAAACAUAAGUGAUUUGUUACCAGAAAUAUGAUCAGAAGCGCCUGAGUCCAUAACCCAUGAUCCAAGAGUACUAGACUGUGAAACACAAGCAAAAGAAUUACCCACAACAUGAACAUUAGGCUGAGUAACCAAGGCUACUUGUAGAGACGUUUGCUUACUUGCUCUGAUACCAUGUUAAAUUAGAUCUUUGGCCUAACUCACACCCCAAAAGCUAGAUCAAAGGGAGGAAGAUUGCCCAAGCCCUAUAAGGAGUCCACCCAUCUAAUUAACCACCAAUGUGGGACUUUUUGUUAUUCCUUAACACCCCAUCUCAUGCCUAGUGCUUAGCAUCUGGUGUGUGGGCAAUUUGAUUUUUGGGGGCCCAAACAUUGGAUAAGCCGGGCCCUGCUCUGAUACCAUGUGAGAAAUAUAGGAGAAAAUAUAUUAUUGAAUUGUGUAUCUAUAUUAUUACAUUGAGACCCUAUUUAUAGACACUACAUUGGAAUCCUUUUUUCCAACUAGGAUUCCUAUUCUUAUUCCUAUUUUUAUUAGGAUUGUAUAUGCUUAUUUCUAUUCUAACAAUUACUUUAUAAAGUUAUUUAAUGAUUAAAAAAUAACAUUAAAUAAAAGUAAUACUCUUGUUUUGAUUUUGUUAAAAUAAAUAAAUAAAAUAAUAAAAUGAAAAAAAUUGUAAAUGAACAUCUUCUUCAAGUAUGUAACAUAGGCGUACUAUAUAGUUUGAGUGGGUCCCAAAAAGCUACAUGAAAAUUGAGACACGAAAUAGUCACUUAUCUUUAUGUUAAGAUUCAAAGUUUUCACAUAAGGCACUAAUAGUCUCUCAUGUUAGCAGUAUUGGUGCACUUUUGAUCGUCCCUUGAAUUUUUGCCUAUUUUUAACGUUGAUUUUUCCACAAUUUUAUGUAUGGAAUGCUCAAUCAUCUUUUUAUAUAUCUAGUAGAAAUAAUAAUUUCAUGUAGAGAAGGUGAGAAGAACAUCUUGACAUAUGACAUCGCAAGAAAAGAAAAAAUUGUACGACAUAAUUAAUCUCUCGAUUUUAGCUACAAUAAUAUUUCUACUAAACAAAACAUGAUGUUCUUAUUCUUACUUUCUCCCAAAAUGGAGUUACUAUUUAUAUUAAAUAUAUAAAAAGACGAUUAAACAUUUCAUAUAUAAAUUGUGGAUAAAAUCAAUAUUAAAAAAUAGGCAAAAAUUUGCAAACAUGUGAGACUAUUAGUGUUCCAUGUGAAAAUUCAAGGAUGACUUUGAGUCUUAACUCAGAGACAAGGGACUAUUUUGGGUCUUUUCUCAAAUGAAAUAGUUAACAACUUUGAGGCUCUUUUAAUGAGUUAAAUUAGGUUGUACUAUCCUUUAAUCACCAUAUCUAUCAUAUAUACCAAAGACAUCAACACAUACAAACAGUAAAUACCAAAAUACCCUUUAAGUAGUUGGUUAAAUUUAGGAUUUUUAAGGCAAUCAAAAUAGAAGUACAUUUUUAAAAGCAAAAAUGUACAGACACAAUAAUGCUCACACUAAAAGAAACCCCUAAAAUACUCCCUAACCCAAGAUACACAAGCAACAGAAAACUCUCCUUUCUGUAUAGGUAGUAAAGUAAAGUAAAAGUAAACUAAUAUAUGCAAAGUAUCUAAUAUGAUUUAAUUUUUUUUAUGAGGCAUAACAAACAUUUGAGAUGAGGUAUAAGACUUACUAUAUGCCCAACACUUUGAAGUAGAAUUCAAGACUGGCUUUAGAAUCCUCUAUUGAAGAGAAUGAAUUUCCCAUGAGACAUAUAUAAUAGGGGUUCAAUCCAAGCAAGAACUUAAAAGGAAAAUGAAAGAGGAGCCAAAUCUUUAUAUAUAUAGAUUGGCAAUUCACCUCCAGGAGGUGCAACAUGUGAGUAAUAAUAUAUAUUUUCAUUUUACAAGUUUUUCUUUUCCUAGAAAAAGAUUUCAGGCUAACAUUGGUGUUUUCAGAAUUUGAGGUUAAGUUUAGAAAAUUCCAACCUUCUAUAUCUUGAUGCAGGACUUCGAACCAUCUUUCAAUAUAUCUACCUUGUAUUUAUGGACUCAUUAACACCCAUAGGAAAACCAAAUAAGAAUAAAAAUAUUGAUGGUGUAUCUAGAUUUUGCUUAAAUUGCAAUUGAGCCACGUAAUUAAGUAAAAGCUAGAAUCAUAUAUAUAUAGUUGCUAUCUAUGUUUCUCGGACUCUUCAAAAAUGUCAUUAAGUGUGUGUCAAAUCCUUCAAAAGUAGUGCAUUUCUGAUGGACCAGACACGAAUGAAGCCAUAUUUUUGAAGAGUCUAAGCAACUUGGGUUGUUAACUGUUCAAUGAGUUAUUAGUGCCGAACAUCAUAUGUAAAACGAAAUGUGACAGCUCAAGUAAGAUGUUCUAUUCAUUGCAGCUUAACAACAAAGCUAAUUACAGACAAGAGGGAGCUGCUUGGAUGGUAAGCAGUAAGCACCCCUCACUUCCAACUCUAAGACUGUGAGUUCGAGCCAUCUAACAGACAAAGAUCCCAAAUUAACUUCAAGUUGUUUUUCAGCAUUUCAAACACCAGAUCUUCAUCCAUUGUUUGCUUCUGUAUUUUUGAUAAGAGAAUGAAAAUCAAAUCAAGUCAAGUUGAUGCUUAAACUAAGAAUACUAUGCUAUGAUUUCGACCAACACCAACCAACGUUGAUGUAUCAUGCAGAGACAUCCAAAAUUGGAAAACAUAAAAUAAAAUGAGAAACGUAAUUGCUUGUCAUCAGGAGAAGAGAACCUACAUGUAACUCUGAUAUAAUUCCAGGCAAUUUCAGGAAAAUCUCAUGUGUAACCUCACCAGUUGAAGAUUUGAAUUUAGAUCGAUUUGCAUGUCGAAACUUAAACCUAAUUGAUGAAUUCAUAUAUGAUUUUGCAGUUGUGUGACCAAUAGCAUUAACAACAUAUCGACCCCCUGAAGAAUGGCGCUUGUUUAAAGGCCAUCUUAAACCACCCGGUAAUUCUGAGUCCAAAAUGGCAGAACCAAUAAGAUCCUUAAUUUCAUUAAUCUCCUCAUCCUGAAAAAUGUGAAGAAUUAUCUAAAGCACAACACUCAUAGAAAGACGUACUACUACUGCAAACACUCAAAUAAGAGAAUUACAUACGACAGUUGUGAGAAGCUUGAAAUCAAGAGUUUAAUCCUUAUAUAUAAAGGAACAAAAAGAGCUUUUGAUAUAUAAUAUUCAUCAACAUCUUGAGCCUAUAACCAACAUCUCUGUAUUUGAAUGGAGUAAAUAACUUACAUAUAAAGCCAUCUUGAUUUUCUUGGUAUAUACAAACAAUCUGAGGUCUGAGCUCUUUCCAAGAAUGCUCAUGUCUGCAACCAUGUGGCGUACUCGGUUCAACUCAAUCUUAAAAAUAAGGAGACAGGUAUAAAUAUGUUAAUGACAGUAACGCGAAAUUGAAGGCAUAAAAGGUUUAGAGUACUAACCUUAUAGAGCUGAAUCUUAUUAUGAUCUUUUGCCACAGUACAUUUGCAGGAAACAGUUGAUUCUGUCCUCAAGUUAUCGGAAAGCUACAAAACACACGGAUAAAGAAAGAAUACAGUAGGACGAAGACAUUUUUUAGAAGCUUGAAAGUAGCAUAUACCUUAACAUAGUACAGCUCUUUCCCUUGCACAUAUUCUAGUCCGAGAUUCUCCACUACUCGAUUUUCUACAUAGUCCAUAUAUGAAGGAGGAACAUCCGUAUGGAAAGAUCUUUUCAUUUUUCUCAAAGCAGUUUCAGUCAAUGAGUUUAGUUUUAGGCUAUCUUUACCAAUUGAAGAAGUCCUGCAUCACAAAGAACAUGACAAGUAUUUUGAAACACGCAUUUGUAUAUGAAUAACCUAACAAAAUAAUGCUUCAAACACAACAAAGUAAGCAGCAUGAUACAUAUGAUAUAUGAGGUGUUUGAUACAUGCUAUAAAAGAUACGAAGUGAUGUUUCGCAGAACAGAGAAGUGUUAAAAUUUCUAAUUAACAUGACGAAAAAAGCAUAACAUGUGAACUAAAUGAAGAAGAUCGACUGACCCAUAAAAGAGAACUUUUCCAAAACGAGCAACUAUAGACGGCUUUACUUGUGCCAUAUCAGCUUCCUCCAUCUCACGCUUCAUAUGUUGAAAUGACAAAAGCAAAUCCUUCUUCACAUUUGCAGCAAUCAAAAUCCAUGGUGUUUCUAUAAGCUCAUUCUUUAUUCCUUCACUGCAACCUGGAAAAGUAUAGAUAUAUAGCUUAAUGAGCAUCACUAAAGUAGAGUCGAACCCAUGAUUUGAAGAUGACGGGUGCACCGCCAACAUCGGCUAAUGCACAUUAGUGUAUGAUAAUUUUACUAAACAUAAAAAUAUAAAACUAAUAUAUUAAAAUUAGUUGUAGGUCACGUUGAAGAAGUUGAAAACACUAUGCAGGUACAAAACUAGAAACAUUUGACAAAAAACAUUAUAAGAACCAAAUUGAGUAAAUAUCUUUAAAUGUCAGAAAUUAUAUAGCAACUUGUUUUGUAUCAAUAAAGUUAUUCAAUUUAAUAUUUUUAUCAUAUAAAAUGACUCAACCAAAUUUGUCAUAAAAAACAGGAUGAUCAGGUUAAAUUAAACCAUAUAUUAACUCCUAUUCUUUUUACAGUAUUUAACUACUCUACUCUUGUUGAAUAAAAAGUAGUACCUUGAUGAGUUGGAACCAAAGAGAGAGGCUGUAGGCCUGCUUUUGUCUCAAAGGAUUCUAGUGAAAGAGGUUGGAAACUGACAAGAGAUGAAAAUCUCAAUUCAUCAGCUAAGCCAACAGAGAACCAUUUUAAGAUAGUAUGAUCAGUGUAACCGAUACUCCGAGUGCGAGAUUUGUUAUCCUUUCUCUUGUUGAAAGCAGAUCUGAUGAGAGACUCCGGUGCUGGAGUUGGUUCAAGCGAUGGCGAGCCCUUUGUUUGCCUCUUGUGUGGCGGAAUGUAAGACAUUAUAUUUGAUCACUUGCUGCUAGCUAGGUGUUUGUGUUACUCACUUGUCUAGAAGAAGAAAUGUAAUUGAACUUAUACCGUAAAUUCAGGGCCGCCUCUAUAUGGAAAACGAAAUAAGGCAUCUGUCAAUAGUGUAAUUAUUUAUGAUAAAGAAAGACUAACUUUUUAAAAAAAAAAUUGUACUAUAUUGUUCUCUUUUAAACCUUUUUCAAAUAGUAAAAAGGAAAAAAUAUUAAAUAUGUCAUCAUAUUUUGAGAAAAGACUCAUCUAUGUCAUAUUUAAGUCUUUCUCAUUUAAUUAAUGACGUGAUUGAAUCAUAAUUGACUACGUAUAGAAAAUGAUUUUGCAAAAUUGAAAUUAUUUUCCAUUAACAAAUAAUGACAUGAAUGAGUCUUUUCUCAAACAAAAAUGAUAUAUAUGAACCAAACUUUUAAUUAGCUUUAAGUCUUGUACCAUACCUACGCUUCGUCCACUGCCUUGAACUUCUUUCAUGGAAACUUCUUCUCCUAAUCAUACUUGGACUCGGUCGGGUAGAAACAUGCUGAAGACCAUGAUAUGAUUCUGUGCGUCUAAUUGAUUUUUGGAGAAUCGGACAACACUAGUGACGGAGCCAGAAUUUUUGAUAAGGGGUUCAAAAUCUGAAAAAAUAGACACACGAAGUAGUCGAAGGAGGUUCGACAUUUACUAUAUAUACCUAAAAAAUUAUUUUAACCAUGUAAAUAUAAUAUAAUUUUCCGCGAAAGGGGAUUCGAAUGAACCCUUAAUGAUAAGGUGGCUCCGCCACUGGACAACACUAAUACUAAAAAAUAAAGAAAAUAGAGUUGCUCUGUUUUGUGAUGAUGGAACAUUUUGGCGCUAUAAAUAAUAGUCAUGUUAAAGUGCUUGCUAGAAUACUUUCAUUAUAUUAGUGAGCAUUAUGACGACUUUUGAGCUUCUACUAAUUACACUUCAUUGAAUUACGACUACUAAAUUUCAUUUCAUUUUAACAUCCAACAUAAUGGUGUAUCAAACAUAAUAUUUGGAAAAUAUAUUUCAUAUUUUUAAUAAAUUUGAUAUAUACCCAUAAGUUUUAAAAACUAUCAAUAAAUUAUAAGUUUGUAUUACAUAGCAAGAUAGAAACGUCGACGUAACAAGAUUCAUGACUUCCGCAACAAGUCAAUUGGAUCUUCGUUGCAACAAAUAACAAGUAGCGUCUAUGACACUAGAACAAUGUGGUAGUUCGGAGUGAGUGCAACAAGCAUCAUUUCAUACAUCGUGAAGUAGACAAAGCACAUGACUUUAUUACCCUGAACCGAUUAUUCGUCAUUUUCAUCAACAACCAUAUCAUCACUUUCAUAUUCACUGAAUAUUUCAUCGCUGCUUUGGUGUUCACAUAAAAAACUAUGUAAUGCAACGGAAACAACUACUAUAGAGGGUGUUUUUGUAAAAGAUAAAAGUUUGACGUAGAAUUUGAAUUGUUUAAAGCUCCCAAAUAAUGAGAUUUGACCCAAAUACUAGUUUAUUCCUAGUAUUUGGGAAUUUGAGUUAUUUGCCAAAUAAUGGUAUAUUGUAUGGACAAACACUAUUUGUCAAAUUUUUUUCCAAAUUUUACUUGGAAAAUCUAUGGUCAAACGGGUCCUAAAUAAAUGGAUGAUGAUGUUUGUUGAUCGAAGUAACCGGAAAUAGAGAUGGACGGAGGUCACUUUUAUAACUCCGAUGUCCGAUUUUUUUGUUCUUCUUGCAAAUUUGAUUAGGAGAUUCAAUUUUUUUUAGAAAGAUUGAAAAAUAAAAAGGAAGAACCAAAACAAACAGAGUUAUAAAAAUGCUUAAUGGGUCGAAGAAGAACACCAUUAAUAUAGCUUACGUGGGUGGGGUGGGGUUGCAUUCUUUUUGGGUAUUAACAUAUUAUUUUGAAAAAAAAAUAUUUUUAAUUAUUUUAAUUUAUGCAUGUCAAGUGUCAUUAGAAGAAAAAAAAGGUACAAGUUUAUUUUACCAAAAAAAAUAUUUUAAAAAAUUUGGGACCUAUUCACGCGCUGCUAUGCAGUAGGAUGCACUUAUUUUGCCACAUCAGCAUUUUGUGCUUAAUAGACACAUGUUUUGAACAAUUUAGGUGUCCAAUAAGUACAAACCCUAGUUAAGGUGUUUAACUGAAUUUGUGGACAACUUUAGGGGGACACAAAUGACUCAAGUCAAUAUUUCGAUCGGACAAUUCAAAUGAUUUUCGAUAUUCACGUAGGCUGCAUCCAACUGAAAUAUAUGUUGGGUAUUUGCAAGUUUCUUACCAUAAAUGAGUUUCUAUUUUCCUAAAAGGAAAGCAUACAGUCUCCAUAUUUGACUAAUCCUUUUUUUGUAGGAAAUUUUUUUAGGAUUCCAUAAAUAAAUGUUUGUUCCUUUUAACGUACCAGCAUUCACAAUGUAGUCCUAGGGGCUAGAGAGUUGUAUAGGGGGAAACAGUUAGAUACAAGUGUUAUGUUAACUCGUGUGUAAAUCUCUUUGUAUUUCGAGUAAAUUGUGUGAGGUUAUUCUUCUCUAUAUUUGUUCUCUCUUUUAUAUAGUGAAUUGCUAAUCUCCUUUGUGGAUGUAGUUCAGUUGACCAAAUCAUGUUAAAUCAUUGUGUCUUUUGAUAUCUUUCUCGUUUGUCUUUUUACUCAUAAUCUUUCGAGGUUUGUUUUGCUAGCUUCCACAUGACACUUAAUUAUUUUGGUUCUAACAAUAUGAUCCCGAGAUCCCAAUCCGACCCCAACUCAAGACCCGACCUGAACGAAAAUUAGAAAAUAUUCCUUCAUAGAAAACACGCCCUAACUGUUUACUACUCAUAAUACUUGAGUACUUGACUAUUGCAUUUUUCUAGAGAUUUUCGAUCAAAAUAAGUCAUUAUUAAUAUCAAUUCACCAAAAUAAUAUGUUUUUUUUUUAAAGUUUACAAAACUAGUAUAAAUGUAUUUCUCAGUAAUGUUUUAGGUUAUAUUUUAUUCAAAAAAAUUCAAUGAUAAAAAGACAAAAAUUUGACAGAGUAAACAAACAUAAAAUGUUACUGUCAGUCAGGGGCGGACCUAGGUUCACUACUAAAAAACUGCCAAAAAAGACGGACUGCGUCGCUUUUUUGGUCAAAAUCGAUGGAAAAGCGACGCAGUCACUUCCGUCGCUUUUUAGCUCGACGCUUUUCAAAAAGCGAUGGACUACGUCUCUUUUUGACUAUUUUUUUUAACAAAAGCGAUGGACUCCGUCGCUCUAUUUUAAUUUUCAUUUUUUUUAAUUUCCAAAAGGCGACGCAGUCCGACGCUUUUGUGGAAAUUUUAUUUUUGAAAAUCCCAGAAAAGCGACGGACAAAUGGACGUUGUUCGUCCCUUUUCUGGAAAUAAUUUUUUUGGAAAAUCCAGAAAAGCGACGGACCAAACCACGCUGUCCGUCGCUUUUUCUGCAAUUUUUUUGACAGUAGAAACUGACAGUUUCUGUUGCCCACCUGCAAAUUCAAUUCAAUUCAAUUCUACACUAUUCAGCUCAAUCAAUCACACACAAUUAUAAACAAUCUACACAAAACAUAAAACAACAAACUUAAAAUAAUAUUCAAAAGUAUCUAAAUCACAAUUUAAAUACUUAUAAAGUCUUUCAAAAUUCGUUUCAAAAUUUCAUAAAUGUCCAGAGAUCUAAACUAGGGAGUGGGAUCUACAUAAUCAUCCUCAUCAUCACUGUCGUCGUCGGUGUCCUCGAGAGCCGAAGUAGUAGGUCGAUGAGUGAGGUUCAUCACUUGUUCUUUGAUUUGUUGAAUGGUAUCGCUCAUACUUCGUUGUUCAGCUAGUCUUCUCUGCUUUGACUCUGCCAAUGCCGAUGUAAGUUGUGCUAUUUGAGCCGACAUAGCAGCAAUCUGAACACCGUCAAGUGCCUCGGCUUGACGUGACGAUCCAAUACCUUCUAAGCUUGACUGAAGUCGUCUUACAUCGUUUCGAGAGCCUAGACCAUAACAUCUACCCUUGUGUGUCCCUCCUACCACUUUUUCUUUCCAAAUCUGGGUGGACAGUUCAGGUAUUAUUUCGACCAAACAUCUAGAUUCUCAGUGACAUACUGAUGAAACUCAUUCUGCAUAUUAAAUAUAAAAAAUGACAUCAAUAUAUAUACAUAUCAUAAAUAUAUUCACUAUUAAUAUAUAUUAUUCAUAUCAAUUAAAUAACUUACAAAAGUUCGUUCGACCCUUUCCUCCACCUACACAUCUGGAUCCGACUCAUUUUCUUUCUUUCUGACAUGAGUCUUCUUGAAAACCUCCGGUUCAAUGGGAGUGCAUCCCAAUUCUUUUUCCUAUAAAUAAAAACUGAAAUUCAUAACGAUAUAUAUGAAUCAACUAAUUAUUUAUUUAAAAAUUUGAAUUAGAACUUACCAUCUCUCUUGUAAUUGUUCCAACGGUCUUUGCACCUUCGAUGUGCAACGAGUCACCCUUAAGACUGCCUCUAGCCUUUUUGGCUUGUUCUGAUAUUGCAUUAAACUUGUCUAUGUUCCAAUACAGACCCAAUUCAUCAAAAACAUGAGGCAGCAUCCAAUCCGGACGUUCAGCACUAUCCUAAACUUUCUUGGGCCAGCUAGACAGUCUGGCGGAUGCCCUCUUCUCAAAUGUGGUCGUAAUGACCAAAUUGUACCUUGGCUCCCAAGUACACAUAGUCUGAAAAAAAUUGAAUAAUGUUAAUUAGAUCGAUAGUAAAAAAAGUAAAGUAUACUAAACUUAACUAAAAAAUAUAUACCUUAAAUUCAUUAAACAUCGCUUGGCGUAUUCUGUUUGGAAUCUCGCUCCAAGAGUGAUAAGCCUGUGUAUAAAGUCUUCUAACACAAUCUUUUAAAGCCCGGGCAGCAUCCUUUGCAAGAUGCCACCUGCAAAACACAUAAUAAAUAUGUUAGUUCAUGAAUAAUAUAUUAAAGUAUAAGAAAUAAAUAAAAUAAACUAACAAAUAGAUAACAAAACAAACUUACGAUGAUCCAUCUGGCUCAAUCAUGACUCUACCAAGUCUAUCCUUCUAGCUAGGAGAUAGAGCAGACAUCUCAUCAUCUGGUGUAGCACUAGGUCUAGCUGUAAAUAAGGGUGAUACAUCAGGAUGCACAAAACACUGAGUCAAUGGAGGCAUACCAGCCAUAACAUCUGACUGCUCGCUACUAGAAUCUCCAAUCCUCAUGGUAGAUAACUGAGGAGAUGUACCUGUAGGAGAUGGAGUACCUGCCGAUAAGGGUCGUGCUCGACGAAUAGCCUAUAAAGGUAGGUCCUCGUAGCAUCGUGCAUGCAAUGCCUAUGAAGUAGAGGAAGCACCGACUGGUCGACGGUAAUUAGGAUAAUAUUGCCGAGGAUCUGCCGUACCAAAUGGAACAGCAAAUAAAUGAGUAUCAUGGCUGAUGCGCUCUGGCGCAGAAGAAAUAGAUCUUGCAAUAUCCUCAGGAUCUAUGGGUCUCCUAAACUUCUUCUUUUUAGCCUGUUUAGUCUGGCUAACUCCAAGAUGCUCGUGAUGUCUAUCACCGUCACCGUCGGAAGACAUCUGUAUUCAAAUUUACAUGUAUAAUAUAUAUAAAAAUCAUAAUUUAAAUAAAAUUAGAAAAAUACACUAACUUACAUAUAUAUACUAGCUAUCUUUCAUUCUAUAAUAUUCCUCCUCGCUUGUUUCAAUUCCAUCAUUCUCCCAUUCUUCCUCCUCAGUUGUUUCAUUUUCAUUAUCGUCCCAUUCUUCGUUAUCAAAUGAUUCAUUUUCCUCAUUCUCAGAUAUUUCUUCCUCAACAUUUAGUAUCUCUUCAUCAGAUACUUCUUCUAAUAUGUGUUGAGGAUAUUGUAGUGUGGUUUCCAAUUCAACAUCAACUUGUUGUUGAACAAUUGCAACAUCAUUUUGAUACGCCACAUCUAAGACAUUGUCAAUUUCAAUUCUUCCCACAGGCUUACUUUUUAUAACAACCCACCAAUCAGCUUUGUCUCUACACAAUGGAUAUGGANNNNNNNNNNNNNNNNNNNNNNNNNNNNNNNNNNNNNNNNNNNNNNNNNNNNNNNNNNNNNNNNNNNNNNNNNNNNNNNNNNNNNNNNNNNNNNNNNNNNNNNNNNNNNNNNNNNNNNNNNNNNNNNNNNNNNNNNNNNNNNNNNNNNNNNNNNNNNNNNNNNNNNNNNNNNNNNNNNNNNNNNNNNNNNNNNNNNNNNNNNNNNNNNNNNNNNNNNNNNNNNNNNNNNNNNNNNNNNNNNNNNNNNNNNNNNNNNNNNNNNNNNNNNNNNNNNNNNNNNNNNNNNNNNNNNNNNNNNNNNNNNNNNNNNNNNNNNNNNNNNNNNNNNNNNNNNNNNNNNNNNNNNNNNNNNNNNNNNNNNNNNNNNNNNNNNNNNNNNNNNNNNNNNNNNNNNNNNNNNNNNNNNNNNNNNNNNNNNNNNNNNNNNNNNNNNNNNNNNNNNNNNNNNNNNNNNNNNNNNNNNNNNNNNNNNNNNNNNNNNNNNNNNNNNNNNNNNNNNNNNNNNNNNNNNNNNNNNNNNNNNNNNNNNNNNNNNNNNNNNNNNNNNNNNNNNNNNNNNNNNNNNNNNNNNNNNNNNNNNNNNNNNNNNNNNNNNNNNNNNNNNNNNNNNNNNNNNNNNNNNNNNNNNNNNNNNNNNNNNNNNNNNNNNNNNNNNNNNNNNNNNNNNNNNNNNNNNNNNNNNNNNNNNNNNNNNNNNNNNNNNNNNNNNNNNNNNNNNNNNNNNNNNNNNNNNNNNNNNNNNNNNNNNNNNNNNNNNNNNNNNNNNNNNNNNNNNNNNNNNNNNNNNNNNNNNNNNNNNNNNNNNNNNNNNNNNNNNNNNNNNNNNNNNNNNNNNNNNNNNNNNNNNNNNNNNNNNNNNNNNNNNNNNNNNNNNNNNNNNNNNNNNNNNNNNNNNNNNNNNNNNNNNNNNNNNNNNNNNNNNNNNNNNNNNNNNNNNNNNNNNNNNNNNNNNNNNNNNNNNNNNNNNNNNNNNNNNNNNNNNNNNNNNNNNNNNNNNNNNNNNNNNNNNNNNNNNNNNNNNNNNNNNNNNNNNNNNNNNNNNNNNNNNNNNNNNNNNNNNNNNNNNNNNNNNNNNNNNNNNNNNNNNNNNNNNNNNNNNNNNNNNNNNNNNNNNNNNNNNNNNNNNNNNNNNNNNNNNNNNNNNNNNNNNNNNNNNNNNNNNNNNNNNNNNNNNNNNNNNNNNNNNNNNNNNNNNNNNNNNNNNNNNNNNNNNNNNNNNNNNNNNNNNNNNNNNNNNNNNNNNNNNNNNNNNNNNNNNNNNNNNNNNNNNNNNNNNNNNNNNNNNNNNNNNNNNNNNNNNNNNNNNNNNNNNNNNNNNNNNNNNNNNNNNNNNNNNNNNNNNNNNNNNNNNNNNNNNNNNNNNNNNNNNNNNNNNNNNNNNNNNNNNNNNNNNNNNNNNNNNNNNNNNNNNNNNNNNNNNNNNNNNNNNNNNNNNNNNNNNNNNNNNNNNNNNNNNNNNNNNNNNNNNNNNNNNNNNNNNNNNNNNNNNNNNNNNNNNNNNNNNNNNNNNNNNNNNNNNNNNNNNNNNNNNNNNNNNNNNNNNNNNNNNNNNNNNNNNNNNNNNNNNNNNNNNNNNNNNNNNNNNNNNNNNNNNNNNNNNNNNNNNNNNNNNNNNNNNNNNNNNNNNNNNNNNNNNNNNNNNNNNNNNNNNNNNNNNNNNNNNNNNNNNNNNNNNNNNNNNNNNNNNNNNNNNNNNNNNNNNNNNNNNNNNNNNNNNNNNNNNNNNNNNNNNNNNGCCUGAUGACAUAUGUAUGCAAAUUUACAUUUAUAAUAUAUAUAAAAAUCAUAAAUUAAAUAAAAUUAGUAAAAUACACUUACAUAUGUACUAGCUAGCUUUCAUUCUACACUAUUUCUCUUCGCUUGUUUCAAUUCCAUCAUUCUCCCAUUCUUCUUCUUCAGUUGUUUCAUUUUCAUUAUCGUCCCAUUCUUUGUCAUCAAAUGAUUCAUUUUCCUCAUUCUCGGAUAUUUCUUCCUCAACAUUCAUUAUCUCAUCAUCAGAUACUUCUUCUAAUAUGUGUUGAGGAUGUUGUAGUGUGGUUUCCAAUUCAACAUCAACUUGUUGUUGAACAAUUGCAACAUCAUUUUGAUACGCCAUAUCUAAGAUAUUGUCAAUUUCAAUUCUUCCCACUUGCUUACUUUUUAUAACAAUCCACCAAUCAGCUUUGUCUCUACGCAAUGGAUAUGGAGCGUAAUACACUUGUUUAGCAUUUUGUGCAAUGAUAAAAAGAUCAUAACUUCUGUAUUUCCUGGUGUGCUUAACUUCAAUUAUAUUAUGUUGAUGGUCCACCUUUGUGCCUCUAUGUGAUGGGUCAAACCACUCACACCGAAACAAUACAAUCUUCUUCUUAGGCCAACCUGAAUACCUCACUUCAAUAAGUUCAUGAAUGACACCAUAAAAUUCAAUAGUUUGGCCAGUACCAUCAACCUCACCUUGUAUGUAGACACCACUAUUAUUUGUUUUCUUGUUCCUAGAAACUUCUUCAAAUUUUGAAACUUAAAAACCGUUGACACAAUACUUAUUCAUUGUUAGUACUUGAGAUUCAGGUCCAAGUGCUACUUCUUUCACUAAUUGCAAAAUGUUGGACACUUGAGUAUUCAUCGUAAACCUAUGUGAUUGAUAUUUCAAGUAAUAUAAUUUAGUAUAACAUGAAUAUAUUAUAUAUUAAAUACUUAGUGAUUGCACACUUACAUAGUUCCUCAGCCAUUUGGAAAAUUUUGUAUAUAUGGCUUCAUUACCCUAUGUGUUUACGAACAAGCUGAUCAUUUUACAUUCAAAUAUUUCGUUAGUUAAUGAACACUUAUUAGUAUGUAAUUUGAUAACAUAUUUUUUAACACUUACUUGACAUAUGGUUGAAUCUCUGGACAAUUAAGCAAAAUAUGUGUCUUAGCUGAUUGCAUUUCCAUAUCAGUGAAGCCUCGCUUUCCACGCUUUUUAGAUCCUCGAUCAUUUUGAUUAAAAAUUGAUAUUGGUGGAAAUAAAGGAUCAAUAUCGCCUUCAUCAUUGCGAUUGGGCCUAUUUAUCCUACAUGACACAUCAUCACAAAAGAAAUAGGAAUAAAAAUCACCAGUUUCUCUCCCAAUAUGACCUUGAACAAAUGAUCCUUCGAUCCUUCCCCGUUGCUUAAUCGUUUGCUUCGAACUACCAAUUUUUCUGCAUGCAUAUAUGUAUAUAUAUGUUAAUAUAUAAAAGACUUGGCGAAUAUAUAUAACUUAGUGAAUAUUUCAAAUGGAUACAUCCAUCUUGUUUGAACCGGACCUCCGAGGCGGGCCUCUUGUACAAGGUGAAUUGGAAGAUGCUCCAUCACAUCAAAGAAACCACAUGGAAAUAUCUUCUCCAACUUAGUAGUAGUAACAAGAAUAUUUUCCUCCAUCCUGUCUAAACUACUCUCCAACAACUUUCCAGAACACAAAUCUUUUUUAAAAAAAGACUUAUCUCUGUGACUGGUUUCCAUAUCAUUUCGGGUAGAUGGCUAAAAGCGAUAGGAAUUAAAGUUUUCAUGAACACAUGACAAUCAUGACUUUUCAUACCUAUCAAUUUUCCUUCAUUCAUAUCUGUCCGCUUUCCUAAAUUUGAAGCAUAGCCUCUUAUAACGAGAAUGUCCACAAAAUUUACAAUUUUCUAAUUCACUAUCAGUCUUGUAAAACAACAUGCAACCAUUAACACAAUAAUGAAUUCUAUCAUACGUCAAUCCUAACUUCGAAACCAAACACUUUGCCUGAUAGAAGUUCUUAGGUAUGUUAAAUUCUGAAUUAACUAGUUUGUGAUGUGUUGCAAUUUGAAAUAACUAUGAAGAAGUUUAUAAUUGGAAUUAGUCAUUUUUUUGAAGUCAGAAUCUGGAAAUUUAGUUAAGUAUGGGAAAAAAAUGAGUUUUUUUUGUCAACUUCAAACAGUCACAACUCCUAGCUCAGAAUGAUUUAGGCGAAUUUCCAGUUAUGUAUGGAAAUCUUUUGGAAUGAUCUUUCCAACGCUGCCUAGUUUGCUCGAUUCCGAGUUCGUAUGAGUGAGUUAUGCCCUUUGAAAGUUGGGCUAUUGGCACAGCCGCACAGGCCAGUUUAGUCCGAAUUUGUAAGGGUAAAUUGGUCUUUUCCCUAACCAUUUAUUUUGGUUAUUUUGAGGUGUUAGACUGAUUUUAAAUCAGUUUUCCCUUUUUAAAAGUGAGAGUUAGGGUUUUGGAGAGAAGAGAGAAAGAAGAGGAGAAAGAGAAGAAGAAGCAAGGAUUUCAUCAAGAUCGUCGUGGUUUUCGUCAGGGGUGAUCCCUAUUAAGGUAUGUUAGAUCAUAGUGUUGGGUUGGUUCUUUCCCCCACACGCCAAACUCGUUUUUUAUUCAGAGAAAAGAUUGGUUGUGGUUGUUGAAUUCUUGUGGUUGUGCUGUUGAAGUUUCUUGUUGGUUUAGUACAUGUUUCCGGUUGUGAUUUUAAGUUGAAUCUAUUGUAUAUUAAGGGUCUUUAUGAUUCUAAGUGUUUGCUACUGGAACCUUUGAGGUUGAGAGGGUUUAGAGUUGGAAAGAAACAAGGGGAAAAAUUCAGAUUUUUAGGGGAAAAGGGCUGGGGUGUUGCGCCAGCCAGCGCACCCCAAAAAGGGACGCUGAACUUUCCCCUUGGGGAAGAGCGCCUGGCAGAACGCCUAGCAGGCCCCUCUGAAGUUUGAGGGCUAGCGCCCCGCGCCUCUUAGAGCGCCAAGGACGCCAAUCCUUCCCUUUACCUUUCAUUUCCCACUUUUUCAUACAUGUUCCUUGGUAAAGUGCCUAUGUUUUAUAGUUGUUUCCAACACUUUAAGGUACAUCUUAACAUCCGAAACUCAUCCAUAAACAUGUGAUCAUACACCUUGAAUUCAUAAUCCAAUUUGAGGAAAGUUAGGAUCCAAGUCAAGUGAAGUUAGAGUCAAGUUUAAAAGUUAAGAAGCAAGUCUUUAAAGUUUUGUUUCAAGAGUCUUUAUUGAACAUUUUACCUUCACUUUAAGGCUCCAGUUUCAAGUUGAGUAAAGAGUAUAGAGUUGAGUUCAUUUCUCAAAAGUUAUUAGUUCCCAAAGAAGUUUAUAAAUGUUUUCACAUUUNNNNNNNNNNNNNNNNNNNNNNNNNNNNNNNNNNNNNNNNNNNNNNNNNNNNNNNNNNNNNNNNNNNNNNNNNNNNNNNNNNNNNNNNNNNNNNNNNNNNNNNNNNNNNNNNNNNNNNNNNNNNNNNNNNNNNNNNNNNNNNNNNNNNNNNNNNNNNNNNNNNNNNNNNNNNNNNNNNNNNNNNNNNNNNNNNNNNNNNNNNNNNNNNNNNNNNNNNNNNNNNNNNNNNNNNNNNNNNNNNNNNNNNNNNNNNNNNNNNNNNNNNNNNNNNNNNNNNNNNNNNNNNNNNNNNNNNNNNNNNNNNNNNNNNNNNNNNNNNNNNNNNNNNNNNNNNNNNNNNNNNNNNNNNNNNNNNNNNNNNNNNNNNNNNNNNNNNNNNNNNNNNNNNNNNNNNNNNNNNNNNNNNNNNNNNNNNNNNNNNNNNNNNNNNNNNNNNNNNNNNNNNNNNNNNNNNNNNNNNNNNNNNNNNNNNNNNNNNNNNNNNNNNNNNNNNNNNNNNNNNNNNNNNNNNNNNNNNNNNNNNNNNNNNNNNNNNNNNNNNNNNNNNNNNNNNNNNNNNNNNNNNNNNNNNNNNNNNNNNNNNNNNNNNNNNNNNNNNNNNNNNNNNNNNNNNNNNNNNNNNNNNNNNNNNNNNNNNNNNNNNNNNNNNNNNNNNNNNNNNNNNNNNNNNNNNNNNNNNNNNNNNNNNNNNNNNNNNNNNNNNNNNNNNNNNNNNNNNNNNNNNNNNNNNNNNNNNNNNNNNNNNNNNNNNNNNNNNNNNNNNNNNNNNNNNNNNNNNNNNNNNNNNNNNNNNNNNNNNNNNNNNNNNNNNNNNNNNNNNNNNNNNNNNNNNNNNNNCGGUCCUGCCCAGGGUGUAGGCUCGGGGCGUGACAAACUUGGUAUCAGAGCCCAGAGUUCAAGAGUCCUAGGGAGUCUAUGAAGCCGUGUCUGUAGAGUCCUAGUUAUCGAUGUGAAGCGCGCCACAUUUAUAAUUGGGAGGCUACGAUACUUAGGAAGAUUUCUCAUUUCUUUCAUACUCAUUUUGUGCGUUAGAUUUCAUCUCUAAAAAAUUUCCCUCUAAUUCGUGCUUGUGCAUAUUUUCAGAUAGUCAUGGCUCCACGAAGAGUUAGCAGAGGACGUCUUCCUAGACGUUAUGUUGAUGAGCAAGAGUUACCUUAUGCCCCGGGAGUGCAACCACAAGGGGAAGUUUCUAAUGCCGAGUUCAGAGAGGCAAUUAGAAUUCUGAGUCAAGCUGUAACUAAUCAGAUUGGUCAGCAAAGGGGAGCUCGACAUGAAGGAGCAGCCACUUCAAAGAUUCUUGAGUUCUUGGGGAUGAAUCCUCCGAGUUUUAUGGGUUCAAGCACUACUGAGGAUCCAGAAAACUUCAUUGAGGAGUUGAAGAAGAUUUUUGAUGUGAUGCAUGUGGCAGAUAUUGAGCGGGUUGAACUAGCUACGUAUCAAUUGAAAGAUGUUGCUAGAACUUGGUUUGACCAGUGGAAGGGGGGCAGAGCUGAGAAUGCACCACCUGCGAUUUGGGCCUGUUUUGAGGAAGCUUUCUUGGGGCGUUUCUUUCCCCGAGAAUUGAGAGAGGCCAAGGUACAUGAGUUUCUUACACUUAAGCAGGAGUCGUUGAGUGUUCAUGAGUACAGUCUGAAGUUCACACAACUAUCCCGUUAUGCUCCGGAAAUGGAUGUGGACAUGAGGAAUAAAAUGAGUUUGUUUGUUGCUGGGCUGUUUCGGUUGUCAAGUAAAGAAGGUAGGGUUGCAAUGCUUAUUGGGGACAUGGACAUAUCAAGGUUGAUGGUUUAUGUACAGCAGGUUGAGAAAGAGAAGCUAAGGGACAGAGAAGAGUUCAGAAAUAAAAAGGCUAAGACCGGUAGUGAGUUCGGGCAGCAGAAAGGUAAUGCGAACCUUCCGUCCUUUCAACAAAGGCAAAAGGGACCUACUCCAUCAUCUUCUAGGGCACCUGCACCCAGAUACAGAGGUGAAUAUAAUGGCCAGAAUUCGAAGGACUUCAAGGCUAGACUAGCACAGUUUUCAGGUAGUGUGGCACAAGGAAGUAGUUUGUUUCCUGCAUGUGCUAGGUGUGGUAGAACCUACCCGGGUAAAUGUCGUGAUGGUCAGACAGGUUAUUUUAAGUGUGGACAAAAGGGUCACUUCAUGAAGGAGUGCCCUAAGAAUAAGCAAGGAAGUGGAAAUUUGGGCAAUAAGGCCCAAUCUUCAUCAAUUGCUCCCCUAGACAAGAUGGCACUCAGAGGAGCUACUUCUAGUACGAGUGGAGGAGCAAACCGCCUCUAUGCACUCACCAGUCGUCUUGAGCAAGAGAACUCUCCGAAUGUAGUCCCUGGUAUGAUCAAAGUCUUUGCUUUUAAUGUGUAUGCUUUGCUAGACCCAGGAGCAAGUUUAUCGUUUGUAACUCUUUACGUUGCAAAUAAGUUUGAUGUUCAUCCUGAAAGACUUUGUGAACCCUUUUGUGUUUCUACACCUGUUGGGGAGUCUAUUCUAGCAGAAAUAGUUUAUCGUGAUUGUCCUAUUUCCAUCAAUCACAAAAGCACCAUGGCUGAUUUGGUUGAGUUAGACAUGGUAGAUUUCGAUGUCAUUUUAGGUGUGGAUUGGCUUCAUGCCUGUUAUGCAUCAUUAGAUUACAGAACUCGAGUGGUCAAGUUUCAGUUUUCGAAUGAGCCAGUCAUAAAGUGGAGUAGCAGUUCAGUUGUGCCUAAGGGUCGUUUCAUUUCGUACCUUAAGGAGAGAAAGUUAGUUUUGAAGGGUUGUGUCUAUCACUUAGUCCGAGUUAAUGACUCUAGUGUUGAGAUACAUCCUAUUCAGUCAGUUCCUAUAGUAAGAGAGUUUCCAAAAGUUUUUCCUGAUGAUCUACCCUAAAUUCCUCCUGAGAGAGAAAUAGAGUUCGACAUAGUCCUCAUUCCAGGUACUCAUCCUAUCUCUAUUCCGCCAUAUAGAAUGGCACCAGCAGAGUUGAAAGAGUUGAAAGAGUAGUUGAAAGAUCUCCUAGAAAAGGGUUUCAUUCGACCGAGUGUCUCACCUUAGGGUGCUCCGGUCUUGUUUGUGAGAAAGAAAGAUGGUUCCCUCAGGAUAUGUAUAGACUACCACCAGUUGAACAAGGUUACCAUCAAGAAUAAGUAUCCUCUUCCACGGAUUGAUGAUCUUUUCGACCAGGUUCAAGGUGCUUCCUAUUUCUCAAAAAUUGACCUCAGAUCAGGUUAUCAUUAGUUAAGAGUAAGAGAAUGUGAUAUUCCAAAGAUAACUUUCAGAACCAGUUUUGGUCAUUAUGAGUUUUUGGUCAUGUCUUUUGGUUUGACCAAUGCACCGGCAGCAUUUAUGGACCUUAUGCAUAUAAUCUUCAAACCUUAUUUAGAUAUGUUUGUUAUCGUUUUCAUUGAUGACAUACUAAUUUAUUCAAGGAAUGAAGAAGAUCAUGCUAGUCAUCUCAGAAUAGUUCUUCAGACUUUGAAAGAUAAAGAGUUGUAUGCCAAGUUCUCUAAGUGUGAGUUUUGGCUUGAGUCUGUGGCAUUCCUAGGCCACAUUGUGUUUGGUGAUGGAAUUAAAAUUGAUACUCGAAAAAUUGAGGCAGUGCAGAAUUGGCCUAGACCCAUAUCUCCAACUGAUAUUAGGAGUUUCUUGGGAUUAGCCGGCUAUUAUAGAAGAUUUGUUGAGGGGUUCUCGUCUAUUGCAUCUCUUUUGACAAAGUUGACUCAGAAGACAGUGAAAUUUCAAUGGUCUGAAGCUUGUGAGAAAAGCUUUCAGGAAUUGAAAAAGAGGUUGAUUACUGCUCCAGUUUUGACGUUACCAGAAGGUACUCAAGGUUUUGUGGUGUAUUGCGAUGCAUUUAGAGUUGGUUUAGGUUGUGUCUUAAUGCAGAAUGGCAAAGUUAUAGCUUAUGCCUCCAGACAAAUGAAAGUUCACGAGAAGAACUACCCAACCCAUGAUCUAGAAUUGGCUNNNNNNNNNNNNNNNNNNNNNNNNNNNNNNNNNNNNNNNNNNNNNNNNNNNNNNNNNNNNNNNNNNNNNNNNNNNNNNNNNNNNNNNNNNNNNNNNNNNNNNNNNNNNNNNNNNNNNNNNNNNNNNNNNNNNNNNNNNNNNNNNNNNNNNNNNNNNNNNNNNNNNNNNNNNNNNNNNNNNNNNNNNNNNNNNNNNNNNNNNNNNNNNNNNNNNNNNNNNNNNNNNNNNNNNNNNNNNNNNNNNNNNNNNNNNNNNNNNNNNNNNNNNNNNNNNNNNNNNNNNNNNNNNNNNNNNNNNNNNNNNNNNNNNNNNNNNNNNNNNNNNNNNNNNNNNNNNNNNNNNNNNNNNNNNNNNNNNNNNNNNNNNNNNNNNNNNNNNNNNNNNNNNNNNNNNNNNNNNNNNNNNNNNNNNNNNNNNNNNNNNNNNNNNNNNNNNNNNNNNNNNNNNNNNNNNNNNNNNNNNNNNNNNNNNNNNNNNNNNNNNNNNNNNNNNNNNNNNNNNNNNNNNNNNNNNNNNNNNNNNNNNNNNNNNNNNNNNNNNNNNNNNNNNNNNNNNNNNNNNNNNNNNNNNNNNNNNNNNNNNNNNNNNNNNNNNNNNNNNNNNNNNNNNNNNNNNNNNNNNNNNNNNNNNNNNNNNNNNNNNNNNNNNNNNNNNNNNNNNNNNNNNNNNNNNUGCCAAGGUCUCUCAGACAGCAUGAUUCUAUUUGGGUAAUUGUCGUCAGAAUGACACAGUCAGCCCAUUUUCUACCGGUAAAGACUACCUAUUCAGCAGAAGAUUAUGCCAAGUUAUAUAUUCAAGAGGUGGUGAGACUUCAUGGAGUCCCAAUCUCCAUUAUUUCAGAUAGGGGUGCAUAGUUUACUGCACAGUUCUGGAAAUCUUUUCAGAAAGACUUGGGUUCGAAGGUGAACUUAAGUAUUGCCUUUCAUCCUCAGACUGAUGGGCAAGCAGAACAUACUAUUCAGACUUUAGAAGAUAUGUUGAGGGCUUGUGUGAUUGAUUUCAAAGGUAAUUGGGAUGAUCACCUACCUCUCAUUGAGUUUGCCUACAACAACAGUUAUCACUCUAGCAUCCAAAUGGCUCCAUAUGAAGCUCUUUAUGGGAGAAGAUGUAGAUCUCCUAUUGGAUGGUUUGAAGUUGGUGAAUCAGGGUUGAUAGGACCUGAUUUAGUUCACCAAGCUAUGGAGAAGGUUAAAGUGAUUCAAGAGAGGUUGAAAAUGGCACGGAGUCGUCAAAAAUCCUACACCGAUGUUAGGAGAAGAGUGUUAGAAUUUGAAGUAGAUGAUUGGGUAUGUUUGAAAGUUUCACCCAUGAAGGGGGUUAUGAGGUUCGGUAAGAAGGGGAAACUUAGUCCCCGGUAUAUUGGACCUUAUCGCAUAGUCAAGAGGGUUGGCAAUAUAGCUUAUGAGUUGGAGCUACCACAGGAACUAGCAGUGGUUCAUCCGAUUUUUCACAUCUCUAUGUUGAAGAAGUGCAUAGGAGAUCCUUCGUUGAUCAUACCUACUGAAAAUAUUGGGAUCAAGGAUAGCUUAUCUUAUGAGAAAAUUCCUGUUCAGAUUUUAGAUCGUCAAGUUCGCAGGUUGAGAAUUAAAGAUGUAGCAUCAGUCAAGGUCAUUUGGAGGAACCAAUUUGUCGAGGAAGUUACUUGGGAAGCCGAAGAGGACAUGAAGAAGAGAUAUCCAUAUCUCUUUGAAUCCGGAGGAAAGGCAGAUCAAGGUACUAAUUUCCUUCUUAGUGCUCUUUAAUUUAUAGUGAGCAUGUAGUUGUUGUUAUUGUUGUUGUUUGCAUGGUUGCUUGAUGGGUGUUUGAGUUGAUGUUACGCCCAUAGCCUAAUAAGAGUAACCACAUUCGAGGACGAAUGUUCCCAAGGGGGAGAUAUUGUAACGUCGUGCAAUUUGAAAUAACUAUGAAGAAGUUUAUAAUUGGAAUUAGUCAUUUUUUUGAAGAAGUCAGAAUCUAGAAAUUUAGUUAAGCAUGGGAAAAAAAUAAGUUUUUUUUGUCAACUUCAAACAGUCAUAACUCCUAUCUCAGAAUGAUUUAGGCGAAUUUCCAGUUAUGUAUGGAAAGCUUUUGGAAUGAUCUUUCCAACGCUGCCUAGUUUGCUCGAUUCCGAGUUCGUAUGAGUGAGUUAUGCCCUUUGGAAGUUGGGCUAUUGGCACAGCCGCACAGGGCAGUUUAGUCCGAAUUUGUAAGGGUAAAUUGGUCUUUUCCCUAAUCAUUUCUUUUGGUUAUGUUGAGGUGCUAGACUGAUUUUAAAUCAGCUCUCCCUUUUUAAAAGUGAGAGUUAGGGUUUUGGAGAGAAGAGAGAAAGAAGAGGAGAAAGAGAAGAAGAAGCAAGGAUUUAGUCAAGAUCGUCAUGGUUUUCGUCGGGGGUGAUCCCUAUUAAGGUAUGUGAGAUCAUAGUGUUGGGUUGGUUCUUUCCCCACACGCCAAACUCAUUUUUAAUUCCGAGAAAAGAUUGGUUGUGGUUGUUGAAUUCUUGUGGUUGUGCUGUUGAAGUUUCUUGUUGGUUUAGUAUAUGUUUCCGGUUGUGCUUUUGAGUUGAAUCUAUUGUAUAUUAAGGGUCUUUAUGAUUCUAAGUGUUUACUGCUGGAACCUUUGAGGUUGAGAGGGUUUAGAGUUGGAAAGAAACAAGGGGAAACAGUCAGAUUUUUGGGGGAAAAGGGCUGGGGUGUCGCGCCAGCCAGCGCACCCCAAAAAGGGACGCUGAACUUUCCCCUUGGGGCAGAGCGCCUGGCAGAACGCCCAGCAGGCCCCUCUGAAGUUUGAGGGCUGGCGCCCCGCGCCUUUUAGAGCGCCAAGGACUCCAAUCCUUCCUUUUACCUUUCAUUUCCCACUUUUUCAUACAUGUUCCUUGGUAAAGUACCUAUGUUUUAUAGUUGUUUCCAUUACUUUAAGGUACAUCUUAACAUCCCAAACUCAUCCAUAAACAUGUGAUCAUACACCUUGAAUUCAUAAUCCAAUUCGAGGAAAAUUAGGAUCCAAGUCAAGUGAAGUUAGAGUCAAGUUUAAAAGUUAAGAAGCAAGUCUUUAAAGUUUUUUUUCAAGAGUCUUUAUUGAACAUUUUACUUUCACUUUAAGGCUCAAGUUUCAAGUUGAGUAAAGGGUAUAGAGUUUCAAGUUGAGUAAAGAGUAUAGAGUUGAGUUCAUUUCUCAAAAGUUAUUAGGGAACUAAGUAUUCCCAAAGAAGUUUAUAAAUGUUUUUUUUCGUUUGAAGUAAGAAAGGAACUAUGAUUUCCAAAAGAGCCUUUGGGCUAAGUUUUGAGCAAUUAUCUCAAACUAAAAGAAAGAAGUGUGUGUUUAAAACACUUAUGAGCCAAAGUAUUUUUGGGAGUAGUAUUGAGCACCGAAUUGGGGAAGCAAGUUCAUAUUAGCUCAACUCUCUAUAAGAACCAUGCAGCCAAACAUGGGAUUUAACGGGUCAUAGUUUUUUAGAUGAUCACGUAAGUUAAGCUAGUGGAUCCACUAAGUAAAGUAAGGUCCUAUAUCACGGCAAGGUAUAGGAUGGUCCUUGGGCAACGUGAGGUAAAAUGUUGUAUCAUCACUAGGGCUCAUAGUGGUGGUUGUCGGUUAAAGAACCUCCCACAAAAGUUAUAUUACUUUUAUAUAAGUAAAGUUGAGUUUGUUAUCGUUUUGUCCUUAACGAACUAAGUUGUCUACAUUGUUUUACAAGUUUUAUAUGUAUUGCAUGUGUCUUAUUGCUUUACAUUUGAGUUCUUUUAUUCAUAAGUCGAACAGAGCCAAGGUAAGAGUUCCUUUUACUCUUUUCAAGCUUAAGUUGUUGUUUAGCUUUCCAGCUCGCAUACUCGUACAUUCCAUGUACUGAUGCCAGUUGGCUUGCAUCGUAUUAUGAUGCAGAUGCAGGAACCCAGGAUCAGCAUCCAGCACGCCGUUGAUCCAGCUGAGCACUCCAGAGUCAGUGGUGAGCCUCUUUGCAUUUCGGAGGACUCGGUUAUUUGGUUUUCUUAAGUUUUGCUUUAUUAGGAUGUUGCGGGGUCUGUCCCAACAUCCAUCUCAGUGUUAUAGAGGCUUCAUAGAUAGUCAGUCAGUUAGUAUUGAGUCUCUACUCUAUAUAUAGAUAUUUAUAUAUAUUCUACUUUGAGUCUUGAGUUGCCUUUUUGGCCAGAUUUUAUCAGUUGGGUUGUUUUAUGACCUUUUAUUGCAUGAAGUUAUUCUGUUGAGUUAAGUUUUCCGCUGAGUUAAGAAAGCCAGGCCAAGGGUUCGCUUGGGGCCAGCAAUGGUCUCCGAGUGUCGGUCCCGCCCAGGGUGUAGGCUCGGGGCGUGACACUAGAUCACCCAAAAGAUCAACCAUUGAGUCCAUGGCCGCAUUAGGAACAUUCCAAUCUGAUUUAAUAUUCAUUAAUCUAACUGCAACUGACAAGGCAGAAUGCGGACUCCCUUCACAUAGUGGACUACUAGACUCUUCUAAUUGAUCAUAGAAGCGCCUUGCUUGUUCAUUAGGAGCUUCAUCAAAAUAUUGUUCCGAUUUCAUCCCACCUUGAACCCCGAAAGCAUCAUUGAUCAUUUCAUGAACCCUGUCAUGUUCAACCCUAUCAUGUUCAACCCUAAUUUGACCAUGUGGUGCAAUCAUAUUAUAUUCAUCCACAUGCAAAGAAUUAUAAAACAUACCAUCCAAUCCAUCUCUUUCUCCAUGAUCAAUCCAUACAAAAUAUCUAGGCUUAAAUCCAUUACGCUACAAAUGAACCAUAAAUGUAACUGGUUUAAAUUUUUUUAACAGUUACAUGCACUACAAGGACACCUAACCAAUCCAUUAUUCUUGAAAAUGUCAAGUGUCAUUGUAUGGUCAAUAAAAUCUCUAACACCGUCAAUAAACUCAGGUUUCAAACCAGCACCAGUUUCAUAAUGCAUAUUAUACAUCCACAAACGAUGAUCCAUCUACAAAAAUAUAAAUAUUCAAUUAUAUUAUAAAUUAAAUUUAAUAAUAAUUUUACUACAUUAAUUCAUUGUUAAUAUAUAUUUAUAAUAAUUACUUAAUAAUUCUAAUUAAGUUCAAUUACUACAUUAAUUCAAUUUCUAAAGUAUAUUCAAGUUCAUAUUAUAAAAGUUAGUAGUUAUAUAUAAAGUGCAAAUCCAAUAAUUAGUUAUAUAUUCAAAAUUCUAAUUAAGUUCAAUUAGUUCAAGAUCUACAAAGUUAAAGCUUAAUUAAUUAAUCAAUACUAAUUAAUUAAGUUCAAAUUAAGUUCAAGUUCUAGUUAAGUUGAUCAAAAUUAAGUUUAUAUUAAUUCCUAAUUAAGUUUUCAAGUUAUUAUAAAUUAAUUAAGUUUAAUAAAGUUCUAAUUAAUUUAUAUUAAGUUCAAAUUAAUUAAGGUCAAUAAGAUUUUCAAGUACUACAAAAUUCUAAUUAAGUUCAAAUAAAAUCCAAGUUCUAAUAAGAAUAAAAAUUAAGUUCUAAUAAAUUAAAGUCAACAACAGUUCAAGUUCAUAUUCCGAAUUAAGUUCAAUUUAUAGUAAAUUCAAGUUAUAAUUAAUUAUAAGUUCUAAUUAAGUUGUAAUUCAAAUCCCUAAAAUUCCAAAUUCAAACUAGCUAGCUAGUGUCCCAAAUUCAAACUAUUAGUCCUAAAAUAUCAAAUAUAAUUUAAACUAGUCCUAAAUUCCAAAUUCAAACUAGUCUUAAAAUCACAAAUUCAAAGUACUCCUAGAAUUCAAAAAUCAAACUAGUGACUAAAAUCUCAAAUUCAAAACUAGUCCUAAAUUCCAAAUUCAAACUAGUCUUAAAAUCACAAAUUCAAAGUACUCCUAGAAUUACAAAAAUCAAACUAGUGCUAAAAUACUCAAAAUUCAAACUAGUCCUAAAUUCCAAAUUCAAACUAGUCUUAAAAUCACAAAUUCAAAGUACUAGAAUUCAAAAAUCAAACUAGCUAGUGCUAAAAUCCCAAAUUCAAACUAUUAGUAGUCCUAAAAUCUCAAAUAUAAUUCAAACUAGUCCUAAAUUUCAAAUUCAAACUAGUCUCAAAAUCACAAAUUCAAUUAGUUAUAUAUAACCUUCAAGUUCUAAGUUCAAUUAGUUCAAGUUCUAAAUUCAAGUUAAUUCAUAUCUAAAUUUCUAAACUUAAUUAUAUAUAAACUUCUAAUUAGGGGUAUUCAUGGUUUGGAUAAAAAUCGAUCCAAACCAAAAAAAUCAAACCAAACCGAUUAAAUGAACCGAUUUAAUUUGGGUUUUGGUUUGGUUUGGUUUUAGAUUGUUAAGAACCGAUAGUUAUUGGUUUGGUUAUGGUUUUGUUCCAAAAAAAUCGAACAAAUAACCGAACCAAACCAACAAGUUAUUUACAUAAAUUUUAUUAUUAUACAUACAUAAUAUAUUAUAUUCAUAAACAAUUUUAAAGAUUUUAUAUAUGUUUCAACAAAAUUUAUUUAUAAUUUACUUAUGAAAGAAAAAAAUGUCCAAGGUGAGAACAUUUUUUCUUAUUGGUUUCAUGUAUAUGAGUGUCUAUGAAAAUUCAUUGUGGGACUGAAAAUGUCAUUGUCUCUUCCUUCUAUGCCAAAAUAAUGAAUUUUGAAGUUUUUAUUCAGUAAAUUCAAUGAUCCAAAGUUCUGUAAUGCCAGUCAUUCUAACUAUUUUUUCGUUUGAAUGGAUUGUUGUCACUUUUUUCACGUUUUUGAAUGAAUUGUUUCUUUUAUUUUUUUGUAUGGUUAAUAACCGAACCAAACCAAAACCGAAACCGAAAACAACCAAACCGAUAAAUGUAUAUUAUAUUUGGUUUGGUUUAGUUUUUGAUAAUUUUUAAAACCGAUUAAGUUGGUUUGGUUUUGGUUUUGACCAAUAACCAACCCAAACCGACCCGUGAACUCCCCUACUUCUAAUCCAUGAAUUGGUUAUAUUCAAGUUCAAGUUCAUAGAUUCAUCCAUGGCAUUCAAACAUUCAACAUAUAUACUCAUGAUAUUCAAACUAACUUCUAACUUCAAAAUAACAAUUUACUAACUAACAAUCAUCAAAUUUACAAAAAUCACAAUUCACAAUCAAAUUACAGAAUUUCAUAUUCAAACUAGUACUUAAAUAAAAAAAACCCUAAUUCAUUUGCUAACAACCACAAUCAAUCAUUCAAUAAAACACAAAUUCAAUAACUAAUUAACAAAAUCAAAUAAUAUACCACAAAUUGAAAAAAUUAAAAACUAAUUUGAUGAAAUCCUAACCUUAAAUUAAAGGAGAAAGAGACAAUGGAGAGGGAGGGUGGCAGCAGCAGCAGCAGCGUCGGCAGCAGAAGCAGCAGCGCGGCGGCAGCGGCGGCGGAAGGUUCAUCGGCGACUUGGGCGAUUUUAGAGAGAAUUUAGAGAGAAAGAAGAGAGAAAAAAUGGAGAAAAUCCCGUCUGGUAUGCAGAUAUUUUAAAGAAAGCAACGGGCAGCGUCUCUAUGUCCGCCGCUUUUUAAAAAAAAUGUUUGACCAACAUUUUGACCAAAAAGCGACGGACUAAGAGUGUCCGUCGCUUUCUUAAAAUAUUUGACCAGAUAUUUUGACCAAGAAGCGACGGACAUAAAAGAUGCCGUCCGUCGCUUAUUUAAAAAAUAAUUAAACAAUUAAAAUGAAUAAAAAGCGACGGACGAUGUGGCUUUUUUUAAUUUAUAAAUAAUUAUUUUUAAUAUAAAGCGACAGACUGCAUCGAUAUUUAUAUAAAAUAAUUAAUUAUUGAUUAUAUAUAUAUUUGGCGCAAAAAUCCGCGAAAAAAGCGACGGACUAAGAGAUUCCGUCUGUCGCAUUUUGUAAAAUAAUUUAAAAAAUAUUUUUUUUUAAUUAAAAGCGACGGACGGUGUGGCAAUUGGCAUCGCUUUAUGGAGCCACGCCGUCCGUCGCUUUUUGACAGUUUUUUAGUAGUGGUUGUGUCUAGGGGGUUCACCCGAAUCCCCUUGGUCGAAAAAUUACGUUAUAUAUAUAGGGCCAAAUUCUGAUUCUAUGUGUACAUAUAUUAAAAUGAACCCUCUGAAAAUAAGUGAGAAGCUUUAGCUCAAUGGAUAAGGGGUUCAUCAGUGGCUUUUACGUCAUGAGCUUGAAUCCCAUGCGCAACAAUUCCUCUUCUCUUAUUUUUUUUACCCUUUUUAAUGCAUGGAAUUGGGUUAACUUUUGGGCUUGGAUCAUCUUCUCUUUUUCAUUAUUUUUUCUCUUUUAUGUCUUUUUUUUUCUAAUUUGUUUUUUGUUUAAAUUUAUUAGACCCAUUUUUUAUUCUUCUUAUAUCUAUUAGUCAUUUUAUUUUAACAUAAUUUUAUGUACAACUCUUUAAAAAUGAUGAAUUAUAUAUAUAAAGAUAAAUUAGAUGUAAUUUUAUGAAGAAACUAAAAAUCAUCAAUAUCCUUUUAAUAAUAUAUAUUUAAUAGAAUUCAGAAUUCAUGGAAUUUCUUUUCUAUUUUUUCAAUUCUAUUUUAGAGAGAUGGAAACUAAACUUAUUUGAUGUAUUCGUCAUUUUUUUUCCAACAAGUGAUGACUAACCUAGUAAAUUAAACUACAUGUACUAAAAAAUUGACGAUGCCAUUUAUUUAUCUUCUGAAUAUGCAUUAUAAUAUUGGUAAAUCUAUACUUAGCACACUUUUAUAGAAUCUUGAUAAUUUUCCUAGUAAUAUGUGUUUGAAUGGAUACUAAUUUAAAAAAUUUUAAAAUGCAAAAUAAAUUAAAACAUUAUAAAAUAAAAGUAUAAAAAGCACAAGAAAUUUUAAGAAUGUUGAAUGGAGCAGGGUAAAAGUAGGAAGAAAUGCUUAAUGCGGUACAAUAAGGUAAUAUAAAUUUCGCGGGUUAAGGUAAAUAUUUUUUCUUCUCCGUCUCGCUUCCUUUUUCAUCCUUUUAAUUUUCCUUUAAUUUUCACGUGUUUUAGGAAUUAACUUAUGUAAUACAACUGAUCCACUCAUAUUUUUUUUUAUCAGCAUAGCUUUGUUCUCAAUAUCUUUGAUUAGUUUGGUGUUAACUUUUAUCAACCAAUGAGAUACCUUGUACAAAAAGCAUGUCGGAGUUACUACGCUCACCGCGCACUUACAUUACCACAUGAGCUUCUUCUUUAAAAUUUCGAACCCCCUGAGCUUAAUUCCUGGAUCCGCCACUGCUGUCAGUAAAGUUUUAUACUCCCUCCGUCCCAUUUUAUGUGGCAACAUUUGACCGGGCACGGAGUUUUAAGAAAUAAAUGAAGACUUUGAAAUGUUUACCAAAUUGCCCUUUAGAAAGUACACUUACUUUACUCUCUCCUCAUAAAUGUAUUGGAGUAUUAUUUUAAGAUUAAGUGGGACCAACAAGGGUAAAAAAGGAAUUGCACCUUUAAAUACUUACCAUAUAAGGAAAGUGACAUUCUUUUUGGGACUGACCAAAAAGGAAAUGUUGCCACAUAAAAUGGGACGGAGGGAGUAAUUCAUUACUCUGAGGCACAUUUUACCGCUAAAAUAUGACUCAUAGUAACGUUUCUCUGAAAUGACUGAAAAUUAUAAUUGGGCAAAAAACUUAAGUAUACAAAUUAAGUUUCUUAAUUACCACUAUAUGACAAUAGUUUUUUUUUCGCCUAUAUAACAAUAGUUUUUUUUUCAAAGUUAUGUUUUAAUAUUAUAAAAAAAGCAAAAAAAAAAAAACACCAAUGCGUGCUCCAGAUUUAUGAUAUUCCCCAUUUUUCUCAAAUCCCAUGAUUUACUCAAAUUAGUUAUAAAUAUUCUCUCCUAUCAAUAAAAGGUUUCUUAACAAAUAUAAAACUCUCUUUCUAUUCAUUCUUCAAUUAUGCAUACCAACAAUUAUUCAAUCCUAAUUCAACAUAAAGGACGUUAGGACGCAUCAGGUAUUAAUGAUAAUUCAAUAUUUAAUUGGUGUUUUUUAAUCGUGUAAUUGAAAAACCUGAUCAUUGUUGUUGUUAUUCACCAAUUCCGUGAUUUGAUUUUUUUUUUUUAAUAAUUGUUUGGUUUUUUAUAUGGUUUUUAGAUUCGGAAUAGAAAUAAUAUAUAGUGAUUAACUAUUUUGGUAAUUGAUUUGGUGAAAUUAAUUUUUUUUAAUUAUCAAAAUUACGAAAGCAUAUUCAUUGUACUACUGGUUUUUUUGUGUCAUUUGGUGUAGACUUUAUUGUGCAUGAUUAUGGUGAACGUAUUGAUAAUAUAAGGGUACGUAAUGAUGGUUUAAACACCAUAUUUAUUUUAAAAAUCACUUUUAAAAAAUUAAAUGUUGUCUAUCUGGAGUUGUUUAAAUAAUGGUGUAAUAUAGGUUUUUUUUUUUUAUUAAUUAUUUGGUUUAUUGUAUGGUUUUGAGCUACAGAAUAGAAAGAAUAUUUAGUGAUUAUCUGUUUUGGUAAUUUAUUUGGUAAAUUUAAUCAUUUUUAAUUAUCACAAUGAUGGACUGCAUUCAGAGUUGAUUUUAUUUGGUGAAAUUAAUCGUUUUAAUUUAUUUGGUAUACUACUGAUUUUUUGUUGGUGUCAUUCGGAGUUGGGUUUAUUGUUGUACAUGAAGGUGGUGAACAUAUUGAUUAUGGUUUGGUACAUAAUGAAGGUGUAAACACCAUAUUUGGUGUAAUUUAUUCAUUCUGAUAGAUUGAACUAAACAUCAAUUUUAAAUCAUAAUAUACACUAAUUUAAUUUAUUUGAUGAUACUAAGAAAUUGGUUUAUAAAAUUAUGGUGUUAUGUAUUGUAAAUGGAACAAUCAAAACCAAGUUCUCAACUAAUUAUACUCCAAUUUUUAUAUGUAGUUUAUUAAUGACUGGUGUAAGUCUUGCAUUAUCUUAAUAUUAAACUCGACACCAACUUUAAACCAUCAUGUGCACCAUUUUGCAUACUAAUUCUAUUGGUAAUACAAGAAAUUUCUGAUUUAUGAAGGAAUUUCGAGUUUGUUUGUUUAAAUUUAAUUAACAUUGAAAAUUCUUAUGUUUUUAACUAUAUUUUGAAUGGUAUUACAGGACGGUGUGUAGAUUUCAAGACUGAAGGAGUAGUAUAUGACACAAAUAUCAAUAACGAUGUCUUAAUUAAGACUAUUGCUUUCCAAUUAGGUGUGGAUACAACAAUAUUUGAGUUGGAAAUUAAAUAUGGUGUGAGUGAUUGAUGUCUACCGAUGAUCAUCCAACAAAAAGGAUUGUACCAAAUUUCCACCGCAAUAAUAACAUUGCAGAGUUUAAUUUUUCAUUUUUUAAGAAUGAGAUUUUCUGAUUUUUUUUUAGUGGUAUUAAGAUAUUGGUUAUUAUGAGUUACUAUAUUUUUGAUUAACUUUGAUGGUAAGACUAAUUUGGUAUAUAAGUUGUUUAAGAAUUGAUGUAAUUUAUUAUAUUGUUGAAACUAGAAGUUAAUAGUGUCAAAAUACAGGUCUUCGUUGUGGUAUAAUAAUACCAUUUGAAUAUAUAAAAUUUUAAUACAAACUUUUCAACUAAUUUGAUAUAGCUUGAGGUAUAAAUUUGGUGUUCAGACUACACUACAUGUGAUUUGCCAACAAAAUGUGUGAAUAACGGAUGGUUAUAAUGAUGCAACAAGGUGUCAAAUUAGUUCAAAUUCAUUAACGUUUUAUAAAGUAAUUAUUUGCAAAUGCAUAACUAUUACUCACUUACAAUUUAAUGAAAUAUCAUGUCAAGGCAUUAAAAUAUAGAAUGUGGAUGGUGUAAGUAUGUUUAUUGGUAAAAUAUACCGUAAACAUCAAUAUUAAACAUCAUUAUAUAUCAUAUUACAUACCAAUAUUUUGACAAAUUUAUAUGUGUGCAUGUAUUUGUGGUAUAUGUGUUGGUAUAGUUAAAUUACUGAUUAUUUUUACAUAGGUAAAAGCAAAUUUAGGGGAUGUGAGAUUCGAAUUUGUUUUCAUAUCCAAUACCAACUUUGACAGGCGAUUGCGUAAAUGCACUCAACUCAUAAGAUGGUCUUGAACAACUAAUCGGCGGGCUAUCAAUGACUAUCACAGAUUUGUUAAGCCUAGGCCUUUUACGCGGAGUCUUUUCCAUCGAAUAAUGGUAAUAAUUUUGGUUAAUUGGAUUGUCAAACGAUUCGGUGAAGAAGAUUAAAGGUUUAAGAAAAAUGGAAGAAGAAUACGGAGAAGAAUAUGGAAGAGUUAACCCUUUUGACUGCUGAAAAAAAUAUUUUCAAGAUUUCUUGGAACUAUAACUCAACAUUGAUAAGUACACCAACUUUAUAGGUAAAAUAAAAGGCUUUAUAAAAAAAAGGAAUAAAAAAAGUAUGAUCCCAAAAAGGUCCCAUAAGCGUAAAAAAAAGGAAUAACAAAAUUAAUGAAAUGUGUGUAUAUAUUUGAAUCUGUAUUAGGAGAGAUAAUAUUUGAUAAAAUCUAAUACCUAAUUAUACUCCACAUAAAAAGGCAGUUAAUACUAAUAGUAUGAGAGAGAAAAAUCGAUUAAAACAAAAUUCAAUUAAAUACAAAAAUUAAAUAUUUUGUUAUGUAUGUAAUUUAAAAACUUAGUUUGUAAUUAAAUAUAAGUCUAUUGAUAUUUUGUUAAUAAAAGUCUUAAGUAGUAUACUUUUGUAAUUUUUCCAUUAUAAUUCAAUCGUGUACAUGUCUCCUCCAACUUUAUUCAACUUUUCAUUACUAAAAUGGAUAUAUAUUUUGUACAUACGCACGUUCACUUGAAAAUAUAUAUGAGUUUCUGAUUUUCUCUUUUCAUACGUAGACAUGAAUAUUGGUCCGGUUUAAUGUUUGGCUGUUAAAGAGGAAUAUCGUUACAGAUUUUCUCCUUUGGCUAACUCUGCAGCUACUAUAUAUUAAUGUAUGUACAAAAUAUAUAUAUAUAUAUCCAUUUUAAGAGUGGAAAGUUGAAUAAAGUUAAAUGAUGCACGUACAAGAUUGAAUUUCAAUUUUCAGUCAUUCCAUAGAAAUGUUACUGUGAGUCACGUUUUAGCUAUAAAACGUGUUUCAAAGUAACAUAUUAUAAAACGUUAUCAACAGCUACGUUUAUGUCUACUUACUCCGUCAUACCUUUGUCUUUUUGUCAUUGAUUUUUUUUUAAUAAAAUAUAAACUAAAACGUUACUGAGAAAUACGUUUAUACUAGUUUUGUAAAAUUUCAAUAAAAAAAUAUUUUAUUUUGAUGAAUUGAAUUUAAUAAUGACUUAUUUUGGUCAAAAAUUUAUUUUCGGAAGAUUUUUUAAAACCUUCUUCACUUUGAAGCAAACAUGAAACAUCAAAACAAGUUUCAACUUUACCUUUUAAAACCUUAGUCCAGAUACUCUAUGGACUUUACGUUUUCAACUCCUUUUUUACACUUGAACAAAUUAAAUUUGUGUAUUAUAUAUGGCCCCGCAAGUUGAUGGAUUUAUCCCAUUUAAAUCAUCUUUACUUCUCUUCCAAAAUUUAUGUUAAAAAAGUGAAUAAUUUUAUCGUAGUCUAUGCUACAUAGCUCAAGAAAGCAGGGUACAAAAUCUAAGAAAUCAAUAAAAGGAUCAAGACAAUUUUGACUAGCAACAGGGGCAGACCCAUAUAGAAUCAUCCGGGUGCUUAAACACCCAUUAACCUUAUAUCGUAAUAUAUAUAUAUGAACAAAUGGUCUGAUUCGUCCAAUGACUCUUAUUUUAAAUGAGUUUAAGUGUCUAAUUGAAAUAUCGUCAAGUAAAAGGGUCUAAUUUACAAUCUAAAUCAUGUAUAAGGGCCUUCCAAAUCAUUCCGCCAGUAAAAUUUAAAAUGAAAGAAGAAAAGACAAAGACUCAAAGUCUUUCCAACACUUGAUGAUUAACUUUCUUUUAAUUAAAGGGACAGUCAUUAUGUCCCCUCUAUUUUUUUGUUUUUUUUUUUUAUCAUUUCAAUUUAUUUUUGCCUCAAAUUUCUUUAUCUUCAUAUCAUUUUAAAAAAAAAAUUAAAUCGGACGUUGGGCCAUUUUGUUUUAAUAAAAAAAUGAUUAAUUGUCUAUAAAUGCUAAUCCAAAAGUGGCUGGCCAUCUUCAUAUCACUUUAUUUUUACACCAUAAAAAUAUAAUAUUAAGCAUUGUUGAAUAUUUGCUAUAGGAUUGCAAAUUUUUUACUGUAGUAAUUUUAUUAAAAUAGACCUAGUCAACUAGCUAGCUCUUUUAAUUAGGAGUUAAAUUCUAUUUGAAUUUUGAAUAAAUAGUAUUUUAUAGAUUUUAGGAGUUUAGUAUUUUCAGCAACUUUUUUUGUUUAAUUUUCGGUUAGAAGUUAUUAGUUUUUAAUAAAUUGUAUUCUUAUGCUGCAAUGAAAAAUAUUAGUCUUUCAACAUUAAUUUAACUUUUCUUUCUUGUUUUUUAUUCCUUUAAUAUUUUUAUUCUUUCAUGCAAUUUCUAUUCUUUUACAAACAAUUGAUAUCUAGAGUCAUUUUUCUUAAGGGACUUGCGAGUGAAGAGAUUAAUUCAAAAAAUAGUUUGUCAUGAAUGACUCCAUCUGUUUUUAUGGUGAAAAUUAUCAAUUAUGGGCGGUAACAAUGAAAACUUACUUGGAGGCUCUUAGUCUUUGGGAAGCUGUGGAAGUGGAUUAUGAAAUUAAUCUGCUACCAAAUAAAUUAACAAUAGCUCAAAUCAAGAGUCACAAGGAAAAGAAAAUUAUGGAGUCUAAGGCGAAGACAACUUUGUUUAUUGUUGUUUCAAUAACUAUUUUCACAAGAAUUAUGUCUCUCACAUCACCAAAAAAAAUUGGGAUUCUCUGAAGAAAGAAUAUGCUGGAGAUGAAAGAUUUUGAGGAAUGCAAGUAUUGAAUUUAUUGAGGGAGUUCGAGUUGCAGAGAAUGAAAGACUUUGAGACAAUCAAAGAAUACUCAGACAGAUUGCUUGGCAUUGUCAACAGGUAAGAUUACUAGACGCGAAUUUAAAGAUUCAAGAAUUGUUGAAAAAAUCCUUGGUACAGUGUCCGAAAGAUAUUAAGCAUUUAUAGACUUAGAAAAUACACAAGAUCUGUCCAAGAUUACCUUGGCUGAGUUGUUAAAUUCUUUUUAGGCAUAGAAGCAAAGAAGACUUAUGAGGCAAGAAGUUAUGAUUAAAGGAGUCUUAGUAGCUAGUCAUAAAGCUCAAAACAAAGGUAAAAUUUAGAAAUAUUACUCACCUUGUGAGCACUAUGGAAAAAUGGGUCUUCCACCAUACAAAUGUUGGAAAAGACCAUACGCGAAGAGUAGUAAGUGCAAUCAGCUUGGCCGUGAAGAAGUCAUUUGCAAAAAUAAAUUUGAGAACCAUGAAGUAGAUGCACGUGUGGUCAAUGAAGAAGAAGAGAAUGAAGAAGAGGAGGAAGAAGAAGAGGAAGAAGAGGAGGGGGAAGAACGAGGAAGAAGAGGAGGAAAGAGAGGAGGAGGAAGAGGAAGAAGAGGAGAAAGAAAAGGAAAACGAGAAAGAAGAAGAUGAGGAAGAAGAGGAAGAGGAAGCCGAGGAAGAAGAGGAAGAUGAAGAGGAAGAAGAAGAAGAGGAGGAGGAGGAGGAAGAUGAGGAAGAGGAAGAAGAAGAUGAGGAAGAAGGCGAUGAAGAAGAGGAAAAGGAAGAGGACGAAUAGGAAGAGGGAGAGGAGGAAGCAAAUGAGGAGGAAGAAGAAGAGGAAGGGGUUGAGGAAGGGGAAUAAGAAGAAGAAGAGGAAGAUGAAGAGAACGAUUUGAGCAUACAAUUUCUACUAAACCAACCAACAUUAUCAACAUAAUUUCAUAGUUUGGAGUUGUGCUCUUAAUUUACCAAUUUGAGUAAACAACCUUACAAAAUUCAAUUUGUAAGUUACGAUGAAGCACAUGUGACCAUCUCAUAGAUGCAACUAUCAUAUAGUUGCUAAUGGUUCACAUGGCAGGUGAACGAGCCCAUAUUCACCUUUUUAUAUGUUCCAAAAAUCUCAGGGGAUACAAUCCCAACCUUAGCUGGUACAAUGAUACAAUCAUUCAUAAGAACAAGCAACACAAGAGAAUUCUUGAAGAAUCUUUUAUUUCUUCAUCAUAUAAGUCACGUGAAUUCUCAAUUACUUUUGCAUCACAUUGGACCGGGAUGGCCAAUCGGUCAUGCCAACUGAUCUUUAUUUUUCUCAAACCUCCCGUAGAGGUGAGUUAUGACAUUUAUCAUUUUUCUCAAACUUCCCAUAGAGGUGAGUUGUGGCAUAUACCCAACCCAUAAUGAUUUUAUCAUAACUUGACUCAUUCUCUUUCAGAAUGGUCGAGCAUUCACGAUGCUUAUCACAAGUCACAUUCUCUUUAAGGAAUGGACUAAUCAUUUAUAUGUGCUUCAUAAAUUUGCACUAUAAGCACAUUGUCAUGCCUAUGCAUGACCCACCUCAAUAUCACUUUGAAAGGUCAAGUGUACCACCACUUUAUCUUCCUUUCUUUUGAUGGAGGAUUUUUAUAUUAUUAAUUCGCACAACGACCACUGGUCCAAUGACCUUUCAUACCAUUAUGAUGAUAAGAAUACCUUCACAAUUUGAAGGCUAUUUGGAGAACCCUCAAUGUUCUACCUUUCAUAAUUAUCACAAUGGUGACUAUUAUAAUUUUAUUCAUCUAUGCCCUUAUUCAUACGUUCAAUUACCUGUCAUCUUUCAGACUUAUUAUUCACUGCUACCAUAUUCAUAUGAUAGAAUGGAGCAAUUAGACGAAUUUCAAACUUAUCAUGUACUGUUACCACAUUCGCUUUAAGGAAUAGAGCAAAUUCAAUGGGACGGACUUCAUAAAUUUUCAUCAAAGCCUUAGUCAUCAUUAUAUCAUAACUAUGGUGCAUUGAGACUCAAACUCAAUGUCUUACCCGUAUAAGACGUGUUAGACCAUAAUUCUAUGAGAUUCGAACCCAAUCCUUAUCAUCAUGGUGCAUUAAAACUCAAAUUGAUGUCUUACUCUCUUGGUGCGAUAUAACAUGAAUCUACCGUCUUAUCCUCAAACAAUUUUCAUUGUGGUGCAUCUGGACUUUAACCUGAUGUCUUACCCUUUUGGUGUGAUGAGACUUGAAUCCAUUGUCUUACCCUUAACCAAAAAUAUAAUAGGCUGAAGUACAACAUGACUCACCCUUUUAGUAUUUCAAAAUAAUCAAAAAUAAUAUUCAAACUCAUGCUACUAAAACUUUGUACCUUUUUCCAUUAAAGGAAUUUUGUAGAGCAUGCCAUAUUCAACCAGUAGUAGUAUUUACCAUUGGUUCCUGAUCAAUGUUAAUGACCGAACACUAUUGUAUUCCAAAUCAUAAAAAGAUUCUAGAAAAUAUAUACCUGAUUUUAUGUAUAUAAUACAUUGAUUGUAGUAGUUAUCAUUUUUCCUUCUUGAUUCUCAUAACGAGAUCAAUCAGAACAUGAUCUAAAGUAAAAAACUAAAACUCAAUCUUAAACGUGUUGUAAAAUAUAAGCAAUGUACUACGAAUAAUAUAGACCAACGAUAUGAGGCGUAGAAUAUAGAGAUCAUCUUAUUCAAAUGUCUUCAUAUCUCGUGUGUGUUACAAUGGUGAAUGAACAAACCUAUUUAUAGGUUGAGAAGUUACUCCAAAAGUCACCAUAUUAAUUGUCAUAAUAAAUAGAUACAUUCUCAUCCAAAAAAGGUUCACAUAACCUAGGGAAUACACAUAGAUGAUAAGUAUAAGUUUAUGGAUAAACUCAAUGGACAAUCCACUUAGUUCAAUGGAUAACAGUAAUCGAAUUUUAAGAAAAGGGUCAUGUGAGAUGUUAAAAUUUUUGCUCAUCUAUGUUAUUUAUGUUUGAGAAAAGACUCAUUCAUAUUUCAUACCAUUAUUUGUUAAGUUAAAUGACAUAUAUGAGUCAAACUUCGAUGAGUCUUUUCUCAAAAUUUGAUGAUAUAUUUAAGCCUUUUCUUUUCCUUUUAACAAAUAAUUUAAUUAAUAAUAUGGAGGAAUCAUAAUUGACCAUAUGUAAAAAUGAUUUUGUAAAAUUGGAACUAUUUUCAGUUAACAAAUGAUGAUUUAUAUGAGUUUUUUCUCAAAUGGAAAUAACAUAGAUAAGCCAAACUUUUAACAUAUGGCAUAGAUGAACAUUUUCUCAAAAAUUCGGUAACAUAGUUGAGUCUUUUUCUUUUAAUUAGUGGCGUGACUGAAUCAUAAUUGUCCACGUAUAAAAAAUGGUUUUGCAAAAUCGAAAUUGUUUUUCCUUAACAAAUAAUGACAUGAAUGAGUCUUUUCUCAAACUGAAAUGGUAUAGAUGAACUAAACUUUUAAUGAAUAACAUAAAUAUAUAUUUACUCAAAGUUCGAUAACAUAUUUGAGUCUUUUCUCCGGAAAAAAAUAAAUUAAGAAAAUUAAAUGAACAUUCACAUUACUAAUUUUCUUUUUCUUUUGGUUAACCAUAUCACCAUCUUUGAAGUUAAUUCACCAAUUUACACACUUUUGGAGCUAGGGCCUAGAAUAAUACAAAAAAUUAUAAUAUAAAACUAAAUAAAAGAAAAGUGACGUGACAUUCCUCUUUAGUAAAGUAUUUUAUUUAUGUUUUUUUUGAUAAUUUUUUUAUUUACUUUUUAUUAUUAUACAAAAAAAUAAAGUCAAAUAGUACUUCUUUAUUUAUUUAUAUUCUUCAAUAUAAAAUUUUGAUUAUCUUUAUUUUUAUUACUCUCAUAACUUUUGAUGAUUAUAACUUCUAAAUCUCUAUAUAUAUAUAAUAAACAACUUUAUCUGUUCAUUCUUAUCCUUCAACUUUAAUGUUCAUUAUUAAUUGAUACUUUAUUCUUUAUAAAAUAUAACAUUUAAAUCAAUAUUUUGACUUAAUAUUAUAGUAUAAAGCAACGCAUUAUUACUACUUUCUCGGUCCAAUAAUACUUAUCUAUUAUUGACUUUGCACACUUCUUAAGAAAUUAUAAAUAAAAGUAUAAUUUCAUCAGUAAAAUUAAUCAUUGAUUUCAUAAAGUGGACAAAUAUUACUAUCUCUAUCCCUAAUUACUUGUUCACUUUUUCUUUUUUACUCAUCCCUUUUUACUUGUUCAUUUUGACCAAUCAAGAAAGAACAAUUAUUUUUUUUACCUAUUUAUACCCUCAAUUAAUUAUUUUUAAAAAGGUAGAACUUUUUGAAAAUUUUAAAAUUUAAUUCACCCACUUCAUAAUUAAUAAAAGUAAAAUGAUAAAUUCACCAUGUCAAUUAUUGAUUUAUUAAUAAAUGUGUUAAUUAAAAAAUGGAUAAAUAAUUAGGGUAGAGGGAAUAUUUUACAUUCCAAAAUAGUAUAUAGUAGAAGAGUCUACAAGACUACAAGCACACGGUCGACAUAUGUGCUCUUUGUGGAAUCUAGAUUAAGUUAAAUGUUAUUUUGAUCAUUGAAAUAGUAAACUUUAAUAAUUUAAUAUAUUUAAAAAUUAGAUAAAAAAGUAUUAUAAUGUUGUUGUUUUCAUGAUUUAUAGUGUCAUUUAUAUAUGUUGAUCAUUAUUUUUUAGGGUCAGACAAAGUCUAAAAUCAUAUAUUACUAUAAGCAUGAACAAAAAAAGUUGAAAGUUGAAUUACGGUUUUACCCCUUCUAUUAAUUAAAUUGUUAUAAAAUAUUUAAAUAUUUGAUUGUAUAAGUUUAAUUAAAAUGUUAAAUGACUUUUAGACUUCCUAAGAUUAAUUCCUAAUUAAAUAUCUAAUUUAUUAAUAUUUAUCAUCUAUAAUCUAUAUAUAUAUAUAUAAAAGAAAAAAUUAAAAAAAGUCUAUACCUAAAUUGCUAUACUUUUCCUCUUCUCAUAACUUUUUCCUUUAAUAUAAUUUAUGUGGAUAAAGUAUUAUCCUUUAUGAUAACUAACGAAAUUUAAUAAUUUGAAGGGUGCAAAUCUGCAAAAUGGAGACGCACACAUUGAUAAUGUCCUCUUGAUUAUUAUUAAAGAAUGACUCUAGCUUCACAAAUUUAAAUUCAUUGAUGCUUAAUUACGUGAUAAGAACUUUAGUUGUUUUUUCUACAUAGUUUGCUAACUUUAAUUUUCUUUUUCAUAUUCUUCAUUUAUUUACUAUUAUUUUCUAAUUACUUAUUCAACUUUUAUACUCUUAAUAUUCAUAACUCUCAUCUUUUCAUAUUCAUAACCUCUAAAUAUUUAAACUAGCACUUUAAGAUAUCUUUUGAUAUUCCUUCUAUUCUAUCUAUAUAAAUUCAACUUCUUUAUCUCAUGAAAUCCCUACCAAGAUUAUUAGGCUAUUAUUAUUUUUAUUCUAUAGUUAAAGUAGAUGAAGAAGACUCUUGAAUUUUGAUAGGAUAUGGAAGGAAUCGAUAAGAACUCGGAGAGUUAUGUACUAAUUUUUGUCUUCUUUUUUUUCUCUAUUAGACUUCUUAAUUUAGUUUUCUAUGAGUGUUUUAUUGUCGUAAGUCUUUAUACUUAUUUUGUAAUUGUUGCAUUUUAUUGUUCUUUACAAUUUACAUAUAUAUAUUUUCAUGAAAUUUUAGUCAUUCUAACGUAUCUAUAAAAAUUCACAUGAAACACACGUGCGAAGCCCGUGCUCAGAAACUAGUAGAUAAAUAAAAGUGAACAAAAGUACAAGUUUGUUUUACAAUAUUUUCUUUUGUAGAAAGAGGUUUUCAAGCUAAUGUUGGUGCUUUCAGGAUUCAAGCUGGUUCAGUUUAUAAUGUAAUCCAACCAUCUCUCCAGAUGACCCUAGAAAACUUAAUAUGACAACUCAAUAAUAAGCUCAAGUAAGAUGCUUUAUUGCUUAACAACAAAACUAUUAAUUAGAAUCUCAUCCAAUGUUAACAACAAAACUGAAAGCAAAUUGAUAGAAAGUGAAGGCUGAAGGGGCAAAACAACAUGGUCAGCUUGAAGAUCCAUCCAACAAACAAAGAUCCCAUAUUAACUUCAAGUUGUUUUCCAGCAUUUCAAACAUCAGAUCUUCGUCCAUUGUUUGCUUCUGCAUUUUUUGUAAGAGAAUGAAAAUCAAAUCAAAUAUUUCAGCAAUGAAGCGAAAAUUCACAAAUUAAAACAGACAAAGGAUUAUCAUUUCAACAAUGAAGAAGCACUGCAACAUUUUGUUUGUAUUUCCGUGGCACAUGCAAGUUGAGGUACUACCAUGACCAACUAUGAAUUUCUUUGAAGACGUAACAAAAUAUGGAUGUUUUCUACCCAACAGGAAAGCAAAACCUGCUUUGAAACAAUGGUAACUUUGUGUGGAUAAAUCAGCAAGUGUGGUACAGGAUACAAUAUAAUAGUCUAAGCUUAUGAUGCUAAGAACACUACAAUAUGGUGUGGAGUAACAUCAUGUGUAUCAUCAAUCAUGCAGUGACAUCCAAAAUUAUAAAGCAAAAAGAAAUGUUAUUGCAAGUACGGAAAGAGAACAUACUCGUAACUCUGAUAUAAUUCCAGGCAUUUUCAGGAAAAUCUCGUGUAACCUCACCAGUUGAAGAUUUGAAAUCAAAUCGAUCUGCAUGCCAAAGCUUAAAUCUAAUUGAUGAAUUUCUAUAUGAUUUUGCAGUUGUGUGACCGAUACCAAUAACAGCAUAUCAACCACCUGAAGAAUCCUUGCCAAUGGGCCAUCUCAAGCUACCCUGAACUUCUGAAUCCAAAAUGGCAGAACCAAUAAGAUCUUUAAUUCCAUUUAUCUGUUCAUCCUGUGAAAAUGCAAAAAGCAUUAGUGGUUUAAUAUCCUUGGCUACAAAGAAAGCAUUAGUGGUUUUCUUCCGUUUAAUUAACAUAAAUCCAUUCUAGAAGGAAACAUAGAAAAGUUAAUUGAAUAUAACUUACAGAUAAAAUCAUGUUGAUUUUCUUGGUAUAUAGUAUCAACCUCAGAUCUGAACUGUUUCCAAGACAGCUCAUAUCUGCUACCAUGUGGCGUACUCUGUUCAACUCAAUCUUAAUGUCAAAGGAAGUCGUUUUGUUGACGAAUGAUGGUGAUAAUUGUUAUUGCUUUUCCAACCAUAUAAAUAAGUACUUAAUUAGAUAUUUUAAUUUACAACAUACUAGAAUAUGAUUAAUGAAGUAGUAACUAACCUUAUAGAGCUCAAUCUUAUUAUAAUCUUUGGCAACAGUACAUUAGCAAGAAACAGUUGAAUUAGGUUGCAACCUAUCAGAAAGCUACAAAAACAAAAGGAUAUAUAGAGCUAAAGGAAACAAUAUACUAGGAGGAAGACAUUAAACUUGAAAAUCAUACCCGUAUGUUGUACAAUUCUUUCCCUUUCACAUAUUCUAGCCCAAGUUUCUCAACAACUCGGUGUUCUAUGUAAUCCAUAUAUGCAGCAGCUGAAUUUGCAUAAAAAUUCCGUUUCAUUUUUCUCACUGUUGCUUCACUCAAUGGGGUAGUUUCCAGGGAUUCUUCACAAAUUGAGGAAUUCCUGCAUACAGAGCUCUCGGAUUAAAUGUUGACAGAUGCAGUGUCAUUCAGGACCUAACAAGCCAGUGCUUCAAAGACUACAAACAAAUAUUCGCGAUAAAUAUUGAAUUCAAACGACAAAUUGUUUCCAGUUGUUAUAAAUUCCUAACAUUCGCCAUAAAAGUUAACUUGUGAUUAUAAGAAGACUGACCUAUAAAAGAAAUUUUUUCCAAAACGAGCAACUACAGAUUGCUUUACUUGUCCCAUAUCAGCUUCCUCCAUCUCACGCUUCAUAUAUGUUGAAAUGCCAAAAGUAAAUCCUCCUUCACAUUUGCAGCUACCAAAAGCCAUGGUGUAUCGAUAAGCUCGUUUGUUAUUCCUUCACUGCAACCUAGAAAAACAUAAAUAUUUGAAAAAAAACUGAAAUAAUUAAGAUCUCAGAAGCAUAAAUCUAAUGUGAAUUCAUGAAUCUAAUGUGUAUAAUCAACCAUGUUCAUCACUGCAACUCGAUCAGCAAUUCAAUUCAAUAUAGGGUUGUACACAAAUCGAAUAUGUAGACAAUUAGAAAUUGAUGCAAUUUCACAUACAUUAGGAAAUACAUAUCUAAAACUACUCUUCCGGUCCAAAAGAAGAAAGUUAUACCUUCCAUUAGAACCAACGAUAGAGCUAUUCUGUCUGAAUUUUGAUCGAAGUAGUCUGCAGAAAAAGGUUGGAGGCUGACAAGAGAUGAAAAUCGAGAAUAAUCAGCCAUGCCAACGGAGAACCAUUUCAAAAUGGAUUUUUUCCAGGAAAAAAUGGUUUUGCAGCUAAAAUUGUUCUGCUCCCCAAACAACUUGAGAUUAAGGCUUUUUCUGAAGAUAUUAGGAGUCAGAAAAUCCGGUGCCGGAGUUGGAUUUAACGAUGGAGAGCCCUUUGUUUGCCUCUUGUGUGGCGGAAUGUAAGACAUUAUAUUUGAUCACUUGCUUUGCAAUUUUGGUGAAAACUGAGUUGCUCUGUUUGCGUGAUCAUGGAACAUUUUAGAGCUAUAAAUAAUAUGUUAAACUGCCCGCUGGAAUACUUGAAUUUUGAACAGACGCAUUAUAUUAAUGAGCAUUAACAUCUGGGUUGAUGACCUUCUGAGCUUCUACUAAUUACAGUUCUACAAUGGUUCAUUGAAUUACGAGUACUAAAUUUGAUUUAAUUUUAAAAGCUAAAAAGUUCAUUUAACAUCCAACAUAAUGGUGUAUCAAAUAUAAUUCUAUUGGACAAUUCAAAUGAUUUUCGAUAUUCCUAUAGCCUGCAUGAACUGAAACAUAUCUGAGUUUCUUACCAUAAAUGAGUUUCCUUUUCUUAAAAGAAAAUCAUAAAGUCUCCAUAUUUGACUGAUCAUGUUUUUAUAGGAAAAUGUUUAGAGUUAGUUCAUUCUAACAUAGCAACAUUCACAAUGUAGUCCUAAAGGCUAGAGAGCUUUGUGUAGGGGAGAAACGGUUAGACACAGUUGUUAUGUUAAUCCUUGUGUGAACCUCUUUGUAUUCCGAGUAAAUUGUGUGAGAUUAUUCUUCUCUACAUUUUGUAUUCUCUUUUAUAUAGUGAAUUGAUCAUCUCCUUUGUGGAUGUAAGUCGGUUGACCAAACCACGUUAAAUAUUUGUGUCUUUCGUUAUAUUUCUUAUUUGUCUUCUUACUCAUGGUAUUUCGAGGUUUGCUUUGCUAACUUCCGCAUGACACCUAAUUAUUUCAAUCCUAACAAUAUAAUCCCGAGAUCCGAACCCGAUCCCGACUCAAGACCCGACCUGAGAGAAAAUUAGAAAAUAUUUUCUGGACAUAGCAAACACAUCCUAAUUGUUUACUACUCAUAAAACUUGCCUCUUGCAAUUUUCUCUCGCUUUAUACAAACACAAAUACAAUUUAUAUAUUUGUGUUUGUAUAAAAGUGAGAGAGAUGAGGGAGAGUGGCGAGCGAGAUUAGGGAGAGUGACGAGCGAGAUUGUCACGACCCGAUUUCUCAAGUCAUGAUGACACCUACUAUAACCCACCAGCAGGUAAGCCAACCCGUAACCCGGAACAACAAGUAAUGGGUCUGAGGGUAGAAACUAAACAAGAGUAGACAAAUAACAAUAUAAACCCCCAUAAGCCCGACGAGUACACAUAAUAACUAUAACUAAAGAGAAUUGCAUAAAAGAACCCAAGAACGAAGAACACGAAUCAGAACCUUAACCCUAAUUAGUAAAAUCUGACAGUACGGAGGCCGGACUUCGAACCGGAUGCUCACCAGAAGUACCCAAGUAACCAAUCACAGGUAACAAGUAUAAGAGGCCGGAACUCUAACCGGAUGCUCUAUAUAGGUAUCUGAGCAAUAGAGGCCGGACCUUAAACCGGAUGCUCUAUAUAAGUAUCUGGGAAAUAGAGACCGAACCUUAAACCGGAUGCUCUAUAUAAGUAUCUGGGCGAUAGAGGCCGGACCUUAAACCGGAUGCUCUAUAUAAGUAUCUGGGCGAUAGAGGCCGGACCUUAAACCGGAUGCUCUAUAUAAGUAUCUGGGCGAUAGAGGCCGGACCUUAAACCGGAUGCUCUAUAUAAGUAUCUGGGCGAUAGAGGCCGGACCUUAAACCGGAUGCUCUAUAUAAGUAUCUGGGCGAUAGAGGCCGGACCUUAAACCGGAUGCUCUAUAUAAGUAUCUGGGCGAUAGAGGCCGGACCUUAAACCGGAUGCUCUAUAUAAGUAUCUGGGCGAUAGAGGCCGGACCUUAAACCGGAUGCUCUAUAUAAGUAUCUGGGCGAUAGAGGCCGGACCUUAAACCGGAUGCUCUAUAUAAGUAUCUGGGCGAUAGAGGCCGGACCUUAAACCGGAUGCUCUAUAUAAGUAUCUGGGGAAUAGAGUCCGGAACUCUAACCGGAUGCUCUAUAAAGGUGCCAAUGUAGCUGUUGAAAGAGUCCCAAUCGAUCCAUACUCAGAAAUGUCCGUGGAACGCCGUCCGUACUUAGCUAAUCAAUGUAAGUCCUUGGAACCAAAUUGAAAAUCAAAUUCAAACCGCGAAGUAGAACUAGUGUCGCCGAUGUAACUCGUGAAACCGUAACAUCGGGGAAAAUAAGGAUAACUAUAAUCGGAGAAAGAGUAUCGCCUAACUAAGGCCUAAACUAUCAGACUCAAGUCUGCUACACCAGUCUACAGGGAUCUAAGCCGGCCGAGCGACGUCGAAGCAAAACUAAGGCCUAUUGGAUCCGAAUAAUGUAUUUCUGAGGCAAACCCUAGUCAAACCUAAACUAAGGUCCAACAUUCUUCGAAUAAACAAUAAUUAAGCAUGCAAGCACUCCACAUAGCGAGGAGGGUCCGUUAAUAACACAAAGCAUGCUCACAGUUACCCGAUAAUUCCCGAAAUAGGCCGAAAACAUGAUUUCUUAACACCUAUGUAGGAUUCAAUAACUACCCAACCCAAAUCCCAACUAAUCAACAUGCAUUCACAUUCUCGAGCUCAAUCUAAGAGAGGGAAAACCGUAGCCUACCUGUAGGCCAAUCACACGCGCUCCAAAAUCACUUCUUCGGAGCUUUUCCUUUCCGAACGGUCUCGAAACACUGCCCCACUAUCAAAAAUAGAGUCACAACAUUAAUAUGGUCGUUUAGACACCAAAAUCACAACAAAUGGAGACUGAUCAAUUUUGGAGUCGAAAUGGGAAUCGUGGGACCCGCACCGAACUGUUCGAAUUUGACUCCGUCAAGACACCCUAAACAGCACCCCAAAUUUGUGGUCCAAAAUGGAACACAAUUCGGGGAUCAAAACGCAUCAACACCCAACAAGCAAGAAAACCACACUUAUAUCAACUUAAAAGAAAACAUUGCAAUAGUCUAAACUUGAAAUUAACGAGAAUCAAAAAGUUCCCAGCACUCCUUGAACACUCUACGACGAAGACACGAUAAUUUUCAAUACGUGGGACUUCGAAUCACCCAAAACCGAGCUAAAAUGAGUGAGAUAUGAUCAAAACAAUAAUGCCAAAAACCACAGCUCGAAAAAGGGUUCUGCAGUCAGGUUAAUUACGAAAUUUACCUCAAACAGAGACCCCAAAUCACUAUCUGAGCUACCAACGCGUUGUCCUCGAAAAAUCUCACAACUUUGCCUUUUGAAUCGCCCAAAUCGGUUGAGAGAUGAGAGAGUUAUGAGGGUUUAAGUUUGGGAAUAUGUUGCUGUUUCUCUGCAUUUAUUGCAGAAAAUCUAUAAUUUUUCCCAAAAUUAAAAACUCCGACGGGGUGCUCCGAACUCGUUCGGAACCCCGUGCACGCAAACGAGAUAUGCAACCAUACCAAAUUUGAUAUUUCAGACUCAACGGCGCAGUCAAAAUUUCCAUCAGAGGUCAUUUCGAUAAAAAGUGGAUCCCACUUCCAAAGGCCAUUUUAAGUCAAAAACCACAAAAGGGCUCGGAAAGAUAUCGAAAACCUCGGGACACAAAAGAAGGGUCAAUCUAGACCAAACUUGAUAUUUCGGAGCUAACCGCGCUGACGAAAUUCUCAUCCGAGCGCGUUUACUCAGAAUGUUGACCAAAGUCAACCUUAAGCCAAAUUUCAAAGGCUAAAACGCCUAAUCGCACCGACUCACACUGAAAACCUCAGGAGUCAUGUUGACCAUGCUACUAGCCUAAAAUGACCCUUCUGGAGCUGAUGGAAUUAUUAGAAUUGGAUUCUGAUGUCAUCUUCUCGAACUUUUGAUCGAAAAUGAUCAUUCAAGGUUCAAAAGCUCCAAAACACUAAAACUCACACCAUAACCAAACGAACGACCAGGUGACCGAAUUGUCAGUCCCAGCAAGUCAUAAAUGACUUGGGGUCGCUAUAGGAAUGCUCUAAAUGACACACAGAAGGCAAGACACAUAAAUGACCUGGAGGGUCAUUACAGAGAUUUCUGGGGAGAAAGGCUAAUGACAAGUGUUUGCUACAUAUUAGAAUUAAAUGAAAUUGUGGUUAUAACAUUUAAUUUGAAUUAAUAAUUUGUUAUUUUAUACAAUUUUUCCAAAUAAAAAAUUGAUGGUACUGUGUGUGUUUCAUUAGCACCUAGUCUUGUACCAUACCUAUGCUUUGUCCACCACCUUGAACUUCUUUCGUCGCAAGAAAACUUUUUCUCCUAAAUUGGACUCGGUCGGGUAGAAACAUGUUGGAGGAACCAGUUCUUUGCUUACACUCCCCUUUCGUCAAUCAUCAAAAUCUUGUUCGAUCCAACACAUUAAAUAAAAAAGAAACUGACCAAGUAAAACCUAAUUCCACUAAUACUAAAAAAUAAGACCAUGAUAUGUUAUUGUGCGUCUGAUUGAUUUUUGGAGAAUCGGACAACACUAUGGUAAAAUCCUCAUACCAAUUGUUAUUUCUUAGGGCGGAUAAAAUCUAAAGUGGAUAAGUAAAAAUGAACAAAAGGAGUAUAAGUUUGUUUUACAAGGUUUUUUUUCUAGAAAAAGGUUUUCAAGCUAAUGUUGGUGUUUUCAGGUUUUGAGGUUUAGUUUAAUAAUGCAAUCCAACCAUUUCUCCAGAUGACCUUGUAUUUAUGGAUCCUAUAGAAAACAAAAAUUAGAAUGGAAAACUUAAUAUGACAACUCAAUAAUAAGCUCAAGUAAGAUGCUUUAUUCAUUACAGCUUAACAACAAAACUAUUUAGAAUCUUAUCCAAUGUUACUAACAUCUUGGGCCCUGCUUAAUUUGUGCAAUUCCAAAACUACACAUAGUGCAAUAACAUUUUUCAGUGUUUUUCGUUCAUCUCCAGUUCUUACUUCAGCAGAUCGAUAGAAAGUGAAGGGGAACAAAACAUGGUCAGCAUGAAGAACCAUCAAACAAACAAAGAUCCCAGAUUAACUUCAAGUUGUUUUCCAGCAUUUCAAACAUCAGAUCUUCGUCCAUUGUUUGCUUCUGCAUUUUUUGCAAGAGAACGAAAAUCAAUUCAAUUAUUUCAGCAAUGAAGCGGAAAUUCACAAAUUAAAACAGAAAGGAUUAUCAGCAUUUUGUUUGUAUUUCCGUAGCACAUGCAAGUUGAGGUACCAUUCAGACAUUCACUACCAUGACAUGAAUUUCUUUGAAGACUAACAAAAUUUGGACAAAUUCUACCCAACUGGAAAGCAAAACCUGAUUUGAAACAGUGGUAAGUUUGUGUUGCUCCAGUUUUUUGGAUGAAAUUGUUCAUAAUUCAGAGGAUAAAUCAGCGAGUGUGGUACAGGAUACAAUAUAAUAGUCUAAGCUUAUGAUGCUAAGAACACUACAAUAUGAUUUGGGGUAACAUCAUACCAUCCAUCAUGUAUAUCAUGCAGUGACAUCCAAAAUUAUAAAGCAAAAAGAAAUGUUAUUGCAAGUACAGAAAGAGAACAUACUCGUAACUCUGAUAUAAUUCCAGGCAUUUUCAGGAAAAUCUCCUGUGUAUCCUCACCAGCUGAAGAUUUGAAAUCAAAUCGAUCUGCAUGCCAAAGCUUAAAUCUAAUUGAUGAAUUUCUAUAUGAUUUUGCAGUUGUGUGACCGAUACCAAUAACAGCAUAUUGACCACCUGAAGAAUCCUUGCCAAUGGGCCAUCUCAAGCCGCCCUGAACUUCUGAAUCCAAAAUGGCAGAACCAAUAAGAUCUUUAAUUCCAUUUAUCUCCUCAUCCUGUGAAAAUGCAAACUAAAUCACAACACUCAUUAAAUUCUACAAGGAAACAUAGAAAAGUUUAUUGCAUAACUUACAGAUAAAAUCAUGUUGAUUUUCUUGGUAUAUAGUAUCAACCUCAGAUCUGAACUCUUUCCAAGACAGCUCAUAUCUGCUACCAUGUAGCAUACACUGUUCAACUCAAUCUAAAUAAAAAGGGAUUCAUGUCAAAGGGAGUCGUUUUGUUAACGAAUGAUGGUAAUAACUGUUAUUGCUUUUCCAACCAUAUAACAUACUAGAAUAUGAUUAAUGAAGAAGCAACAUGAAUAAAGUAGUAACUAACCUUAUAGAGCUCAAUCUUAUUUUAAUCUUUGGCAACAGUACAUUUGCAAGAAACAGUUGAAUUAGGUCUCAACCUAUCAGAAAGCUACAAAAACAAAAGGAUAUAUAGAGCUAAGGGAAACAAUAUAGCUGGAGGAAGACAUUUGUUUGAAGCUUGAAAAUCAUACCCGUAUGUUGUACAAUUCUUUCCCUUUCACAUAUUCUAGCCCGAGUUUCUCAACAACUCGGUGUUCUAUGUAAUCCAUAAAUGCAGCAGGAGAAUUUGCAUAAAAUUUCCGUUUCAUUUUUCUCACUGUUGCUUCACUCAAUGGGGUAGUUUCCAGGGAUUCUUCACAAAUUGAGGAAUUCCUGCACACACAGCUCUCGAAUUAAAUGUUGACAGAUGCAGUGUCAUUCAGGACGUAAAAAGCUAAUGCUUCAAAGACUACAAACAAAUAUUCGCUAUUAAUAGUGAAUUCAAAUGACACAUCUGUUGCGAUUCCAGUUGUUAUAAAUUCCUAUCAUGAUGAUAAAACUUAACUUGUGAUUAAAAGAAGACUGACCUAUAAAAGAGGAUUUUUCCAAAACGAGCAACUACAGACGGCUUUACUUGUGCCAUCUCACGCUUCAUAUGUUGAAAUGCCAAAAGUAAAUCCUCCUUCUCAUUUGCAGCUACCAAAAGCCAUGGUGUAUCGAUAAGUUUGUUCGGCAUUCCUUCACUGCAACCUAGAAAAGCAUAAAUAUUUGAAAGAAAACUGAAAUAAUUAACAUCUCAAAAGCAUAAAUGUAAUGUGAAUUCAUGAAUCUAAUGUGUAUAUUCAACCAUGUUCAUCACUGUGUGUCGAUCACCAAUUCAAUUCAAUAUAAGGUUGUACACAAAUCGAAUAUGCAGACAACUAGAAAUUGAUGAAAAUACAGAUACAUUAGGACAUACAUAUCUAAAACUACUCUUCCGGUGAAAAAGAAAAAGGUUAUACCUUCCAUUAGAACCAACGAUAGAGCUUUUCUGUCUGGAUUUCCAUCAAAGUAGUCUGCAGAAAAAGGUUGGAGGCCGACAAGAGAUAAAAAUCGAGAAUAAUCAGCCAAGCCAACGGAGAACCAUUUCGAAACAGCAAAUUUUCUGUAAACGAUGGUCUUUCCUCGAAAAUUGUUCUGCUCCCCAAACGACUUGAGAUUAACGCUCUUUCUGAAGUUAUUAGGCGUAAGAAAGUCCGGUGCCGGAGUUGGAUUCAACAACGGAAAGCCCUUUGUUUGCCUCUUGUGCGGCAGAAUGUAAGCCAUUAUAUUUGAUCUGUUGCUUUGCACUUCUGCUGAAAAUUGAGUUGCUCUGUUUUUUGAACAUUUUGGCGCUAUAAAUAAUACAGCUGCUUGCUGGAAUACUUGAAUUUCAAACAGACACAUUAUAUUAAUGAACAUUAACGUCUCGGUUGACGACCCUUUGAGCUUCUACUAAUUACACUUCAUUGAAUUACGACUACUAUAUUUGAUUUCAUUUUAAAAGCUAAAAGGUUCAUUUAAUAUCCAACAUUAUAGUGUAUCAAAUAUAAUUCUAUUGGACAGUUCAAAUGAUUUUCAAUAUUGCUGCAUCGAAUUGGAAUAUGUGUUGGGUAUUUGCUCUGAGUUUAUGAGUUUUUCUUUUCCUUGAGUUUAUGAAUUUUUCUAUUUUUAAAAGAGUUUGAUAAAGUAGAAGUCUAACAUAGUCUUAACAAGUCAUCUAAAACAUCAAAUAAGUGGUUGGGGUGUCACUCAUACACCACAUACAUCAUCCAAAAACUAGAAAGACAUAAAACAAGUAAAAGUGUCUCGCUCCUCAUAAAAUGAGGACUCACCAACUCUUGAAUUUGAUAGAGUGAUCAACUAGCCACGAGUGUGAGAAGUGGGAGCGUCGGACCCUAUAUUAAUGAGACAAUGUAGACACAAGUAUGCAUUAGUACAUGAAAUGGACUAAAUAUGUGGCAAUAUGCAUAUAUAGACAUGGUAUCAUGAAAAACUUAAACACGUGAGAUAUGACCAACAUUUGAGCAUUUAAAGGCUUAAGGAAACAACAUAUAUUUCAUAAGAUAUGGUCAACACAUUUAAAAUAAGAGACAUAAGAAAGCUUUUGAAGAAACAUAUUCGUUUUAGUUUUUUUGGGUAUUAGCUUUAAGCGACAAAAAGACCAUGAGAGCUAUAUCAUGGAAUCUGAUAUAUCCCUCGUACCGAAAGAAGGGGAUUCUACUUGCCAAGGUAGAAUCCGUACACAUCAUCUUUUGCUAAAGUGGAUCUACUAGCUAGGUCAUUUAAGACGAUCCUACGGGGUAUGUAGUUAGGGACUAGAGAUUGCUACCAGAGACUACCCUAUUUGAGCCUCCACCUCAAAUCCCUCUCGGUGCUAAGUCUAAAUCCCAACGGAAUAGAUAAGAAUCAAAUAUCAUUAUAACAUAGGAAAGACUAUGGUCAAUACUAAUCCUCAUCUUAAAAAUCAAAACAUAUAAUAGCUCCUUAAAUUACAAUUCAAGCAUAGGUGAGAAAACCUUUCACUAAUAUGAAUCUAUAUGUGAGAAAUACAUUUCAUAAUCAUGAUCAUAAGACUAUGUCUUAUGUGAGAACCUUUCACAACAACAUUGAUACUUUCAUUUAAAAGCACCAUAUCAUCAUAAACAUCAUUUUCAUAAGACAUGCAUAAUUCUUCAAAAUUCAUAGUUCAUGAGUUCAUCAUAAGUUCAUAAUUGAAAGUCAUGGAUCAUGUUUGAGAAAUGGAGGGGUGAGUUCUUGAUUGAUUGUGAACUAUACCCCAAAACCUUUAGUUGGAAUUGAAGAUGAAUGUGGGAGCUGGUUGAAAAUUUAUCUGCAUUUCAAUAUUUGACCUUAAAUCCUACUUAUGUAUUAUAGAAUUUCAAUCUACUUGUGAAUGUGGCAAAAUUCUUGGCUGUGAAUCUGAUAGUAAGAUUUGAUAUGUACUGUGCAACACACGCGCGCGCGCACAGACACGUAGAAUAUGCAUCUUGGACCAAUCAGCCUGAUAUGUGAGCGUGUGUGUUGCACAGAGCAGAUAUCAAUCAGAAAGAUUUAGAAGAUAGCACAAUCUGAUAUACUUUAUUUCUAUAGGUUGGAGUUGGUGGUCAUUCGAUUGAAUAAUGGCGCUUGCCCCUCAUUCAAACUUUCUGUGCAAUCAUGAAACCAUCAAAUGUCAAGUUGGAUCAAAGCUUCACAGUCAUACAAGAUUUGGCUGGGGUAGAGCAGAUUGCUUUGGUAGUAUAGUCAUAGUGAAAAUUUGUUCCAGAAGACAGCUGAUACCUACGUACUUGCAGAAAUCUCCUAGAAUGCGCUGUGGUUUGGAUUCUAGAGGUCUGCAACUAUCAUCACGGGGGAAACAAAAUCUUUCUUCUGCACAUAGCAUUAACCAGAAUGUACCUAAGGUGAGUUUUGAUAAAAUUUUAUUAUGUUGCUUCUCUUUUACUACUUUACGAAGGAAUGCGGGGAUCUAACUCUCUCCUCUGCAUCCUCUUCUUUCUCUUUGCUGACAGAAGUCCUCUAUUUAGGGAAAUACAAUAUGCAAAUUUCCAGAAGAUGUAGCUUUGAUGGUCUGGAAGAAAUGGGGCCAAUUGGCCAAAACAGCAAUUGUAACUCUAUUCAUUUUGUCAGUUGCUUCAAAGGCUGAUGCUCCCAAAACUUGUACUUGCUUACUGAAAGAGUGCAGGUAAUUGUGCAGAUGUUACUAAAGUAUGCCGGUAUACUUCCUUGUACCGAGUGUAACAUCCGACAAUUUGAAAUAGCUAAGAAGAGGCUUAGAAUUUGAAAUUUUCAUUUUUUUGGAAAAGAUUUGAAAUUCUGGAAAAAAUUGGCUAAGUAUAGAAAUCUGUGAUUUUUGGCCAACUUUGAGCAGUCAUAACUUCUAGCUCAGGAUGAGUUAGGAGUAGUUCCAGUUAUGGUUGUGUAGCUUGUGGAAUGAUCUUUCCAACGCCGCUGAGUUUUCUCAAUUCCGAGUUCGUAUGAGCGAGUUAUUCCCGUUGAAAGUUGAGCAGUUGGCAGGGAAUCCGUCCGGGAAUCAUUAAGGGCAUUUUGGUCUUUUCCCUAGCUAUUUUCUUUUGAGGAUAUAUUGUUGUGUUAGGAUGAUUUUUGGAUCUUUUAUUCCAUUGUAAGAGAGUAAAGGCUAGGGCUUGAGAAGAAGAGAAGAAGAGAAGAAGAGAAGAAGAGGAGAAGGAGAAGAGGAGAGGAGAUUAAGAAGUUUCCGACAAGAUCAUCGUGGGAUUUUCGUCGGGGGUGAUCCCUACCGAGGUAUGUGAACUUUUAGUGUUGGGUGAUCCUUUCCCCCACACACCUAGCCCUUCUAUUUAUUGAGAAAGGAUUGGAUUCGUUGUUGAAAUUGUUGGAAUUGUUGUUAAGGUUGUUAGUUGUUGAAGUUGAUAGUUACAUUGUUUGGUUGGUAGUUGAGUUGUAAUCUAUGGUAUGUUGAGGGAUUUUUGUACUUCCAUGUGUAUGGGGCUGAAACCUUGUUUGGGAGGGUUUAGAGCUGGAGAAAAGGAGUAUCCCAGAAUUAGUCAGUUUCUCAGGAGCAGUCGACGGACUAGAGGUACGGUCCGUAGAUCGAUCUACGGACCGUCGAUCCCCUCCGUAACUCUACACUUAGAAUUCUUCAGAAAUUCAGGAAUUGGAACCCCCUCAGUAUCAUCUACGGACCGUUGAUGGUCACCGUGGUUCCACACUUGGUCAUUUUUUUCCCUGAAUUGUCCUCAAUACCUUGCCUGCUGAUCUACGGUCAUGACCUACGGACCGUGAAUGGACCUACGGUCCGUAGAUCACUUCCGUAAAUGCCAUGUUUCUGCAUUUCUUCUUGUACCUAUGUCUCCAAGUUGCUUCCAACACUUCAAGUUGUGUUUAAAUGUCUAGCACUCUUUCAUAACAGGUGACUAUAUCCCUUGAAUCCAUAAUUCAAUUCAAGGCGAGUUAGAAUCAAGUUAAAGAGAAGUUAGAGUCAAGUCAAGCAAGUUUUCAAAGUUGUUCGAGAGUCUUUAUUGAACGUUUUACUUCAUUCUAAGGCUCAAGUUGCAAGUCAAGUAAAGAGUUUAAAGUUGAGUUCAUUUCUCAAAGUUAUUAGGGAACUAUGUAUUCCCAAAGGAGUUUUUAAAGAAAUGUUUUUACAUUUAAACAAGGUUGGAAACUGAGAUUUCCAAAAGAGCCUUCGGGCAAGUUUUUGAGUAAUUAUCUCAUAUCAGCAGGAAGAAAUAUGUUUUAAAAACAUAAGAGCCAGUACAUUUUUGGGAGUAGUAUCGAGCACCGAAUUGGGGGAGCGUUCAAAGAACCCACAGCCCCAUAGAACCAUGUUAGCCAUCAUAGGUAGAAGAGGAUCAUACUUUUUAGAUGAAUCCUUUUCAGAUUAGACUAGUGGAUCCAUUAGGCAGUUCAGGUCCUAUAUCUUUGGCCGGGAAUAGGAUGCUCUGGCAGCGUGAGGUUGAUCGCUGUAUCAUCACUAUAGCUCUUAUGUGAUGGUUGUCGGUUAGAGAAACUCCCACAACAGUUAUUGUAUUUCAUACACAAAGAUUAUUGUAUUUUUAUAUACAUCAGUUCAUUUGUAUUUCUAUAUACAUCUCAGGCUUAUUGUAUCUUUGCAUACACACAGAGUUUAUAGCAUGUUUUAAACAGUCUUUCUUUAUAUCGUACUUGUUUUAAAUUGCCUUAUAUUGAAAGAAGUCAGUCAGGUUGAGUUGAGAUGAGCCAGGUAAGCUAUUCAGUUUCAUCCAGAUCUCCUUCUAGCCUUUGUUGCUUAGUUCCAGCUCGCAUACUCGUACAUUCCAUGUACUGAUGCCAGUUGGCCUGCAUCUUAUUAUGAUGCAGAUUCAGGUACCCCGGAUCAGCAUCCUGCACGUCGUUGAUCCAGCUGAGCACUCCAGAGUCAGUGGUGAGCCUCCUUGCUUUCCGGAGGACUCGGUUAUUUUUGUGUUUCUAGUUUUAUUUUGUUAGGAUGUUGCGGGGACUGUCCCAACAUCCAUCUCAGUAUGUUAGAGGCUUCAUAGACAGUCAGUCAGUUAGAAUUGAGUCUCUUAGCUAUGUAUAUGUAUGUUUAUGUAAAUAUUCUAUUUUGAGACUCGAGUUGCCCCUUGGGCCAUAUUUUUAUCAGUUAGGUUAUUUAUGUCUUUGCAGGGCAUUGAGUUAUUCUAUUGAGUCAGGUUUCCGCUGAGUUAAGAAAGCCAGGCCAAGGGUUCGCUUGGGGCCAGCAAUGGUCUCCGAGUGCCGGUCCCGCCCAGGGUGUAGGCUCGGGGCUGACACCGAGCUACCAAUAUAUUUUGCUUUGCUACCCCUUGUAUGUUUCCUUCAAGAGUUCUGACCUUGUUUACUUUUAUCCCAUAUAAAAAUACAUAAGGAAUGUGAAAUUGGUUCUUGUUUGUACUCUGUGGAUUAUCAUCCUGGCUUAAUAAUUGAGUGGUAAGGAUGUCAAAUUCAGUUUUCACAGACAUAGACUAUCUCUAGCUUCUUAUGAUCAACUAUCCAUAAGUCCUUGAUUCUAGUUGUUAUUAUCAAUGAACUCAAGUUUUAACCAUAACCCCAACCGGUAAUGCUUUUCCAUCUAAUUCCUUUCUGAUUUUGAGACUUGUUAAGACUUUCUGUGUUCUAAUUAGGCCAUGAGAAUAGCAGUAUGAAUUUGACUUAGUUUCAGGAAGUUUUUUCAGACCAUUAUGGUGGUAAAAAUAACUGAUACUGUUGCUGUGCUAGGGAUGCAGGAAAGUUUCUACCAGUAUUCCAUUUUCCCUGAAACUCAAAAGAUAGCUUAAUUUGUUUCGAUGAAUGUGCCAAAAUUUGAUGAACUUGUAAAGAUAUAGUCACACAAAUGUCUAAGGUUUAUUUUAGACCACAAAAUUCGGAAGUCUUCUAUUCUUUGUUAAACUUUUUGCUAAGUCAAACGGUCCAACAUAAUUAGGACGGAGGGGAGUAGUAUUGAUGAGUUUCCACCUCCAUUCCAGCAUGCAUGUCUGACACUCUUAGGUGACUUAUCGAAGUAUUAUGCUUUCAGGAUAGAGCUUGCGAAGUGCAUCGCAAACCCUGCAUGUGCAGCUAAUGUUGCUUGUCUCCAGACUUGCAACAAUAGACCUGAUGAAACGGAAUGUCAGGUGUCUACAAACAUCUUAUUAAAACUGAAUAUUGAUUUGAUCACAUUUAUGGAAUAUGGGUGCAGAUAAAAUGUGGUGAUUUGUUUGAAAACACUGUUGUAGGUGAGUUCAAUGAGUGUGCAGUCUCCCGGAAAAAAUGUGUACCUCGUAAAUCUGAUGUUGGUGACUUUCCUGUACCUGAUCCAAGUAUUCCCAUCCAAAGGUUUGACAUGAAUGAUUUUAGUGGAAAAUGGUACAUCACUCACGGUUUAAAUCCCACAUUUGAUGUUUUUGAUUGUCAAUUGCAUAAGUUCCAUACAGAAGGAAACAAACUUGUGGGAAAUCUGACUUGGAGAAUAGGGACACCUGAUGGAGGAUUUUUCACUCGAUCAGCAGUGCAAAAAUUCGUGCAAGAUCCAAAGUAUCCCAGGAUACUCUACAAUCAUGAUAAUGAGUAUCUUCACUACCAAGAAAGAGGUUGGAGCUUCACAAGUGAGAAUCAUCAGUCAAACCAACAGGGAACCAUUUCCUAACUAUAAGGGCAGAAAUGAUGCAUGGGAUGGAUAUGGCAGUUCUGUACUUUAUACAAGAAGCUCAGUUUUGCCUGAAAGCAUUAUAUAUACCUGAGUUGCAAACUGCAGCCCAAAAAGUUGGUCGUGAUUUCAACACGUUCAUAAAAACAGACAAUACUUGUGGCCCUGAACCACCCCUUGUUGAGCGUUUGGAGAAGAAAGUGGAAGCAGGAGAGAGGACAAUCAUAAAAGAAGUUGAGGAAAUAGAAGAAGAAGUUGAGAAGGUGAGGGAAAGAAGUCAGCUUGUUCAGUAGACUGUUUGAAGGUUUCAAAGAGCUGCAACAAGAUGAAGAAAACUUUAUAAGAGAGCUCAGCAAAGAAGAAAUGGAUAUUUUGGAUGGACUUAAAAUGGAAGCAACUGAAGUAGAAAAACUCUUUGGAAAUGCAUUACCAAUAAGGAAAUUAAUGUAAAUAUUGCUAAGAGAGUAAUAUUAGAAACUAUCCAAAUACAGAAUGUAUAGCUUGUAUUUAAUAUAUUUAUCUUUUUGCCUGGAAUAGAUUCCUCAUAUAUCAUGUAAUGCUUCUCUCUUAGAGGCAUAAAUAAUACAUCUUCUCCUUUAAAAUCCCAUUCUGGUGUUUAACUGCAGACAUUGUAAGAUUUUUCCUCUAUGCAUCAAUAUGCUAUUUACAUUUCCCAACAUUCAGUAAAAUCAAAUAUGUGAACUCAGCAGUUCGAUCCAUUACAAAACAGAACUAUUUACAAUCUUAUCUAGUGUUCCUUACUGAUGCCACUAACAUUAGAGGCCUUGGUUCAUUUCAUUCCAUACACAAAACUAUAUAGUGCAAACAGCAUUCAACAUUUUGAGUUUAAAAAUUCAGUUAUCUACAUCUAUAUAUUCCACCACUGCAAACUACAAAAGGUAACUUUCUUCACCAACCGAACAUAGCUUGUGAGUCUAGCAGUUUCUGCAGAUAUUUUGCAAAGAGAAAGUGAAGGACCAUAAAAUAUGGUCAGCUUGAAGAACCAUCAUGCAAACAGUGAUCCCAGAUUAACUUCAAGUUGUCUUCAAGCAUUUUAAGCACCAGGUUUUCAUCAAUCGUUUGCUCCUGCAUUUUCGGAAAGAAAAUGUAUUAAAUUAAUUAUUUCAGUAGUGAAGAAACAGAAAGGCUUAUCAACUGGAUUGGAAUCAGUGAUGAAAUUUUGUUGCUCCAAAUAUAUUACCAAUAGAAAUAUACAUAAUUGCUCAUUAGAAGAAAACCUACCUGCAAUUGGGAUAAAAUCCCAGACAUUUUCAGGUUAGCUUCCUGUGCAACCUCACCAGUUGAAGAUCUGAAAUCAAAUCGAUCUGCAUGUCUAAGCUUAACACUGAAUGCGUGUGAAGAAUAUCUUCAUUUCUACUUUUUGCCUCUGUAUCCUUUUUCCUUUUUUCUCUCUUCUACUUACCCUCCUUUGGAUUUCAUCGUAGAAAUGAUUCAUAACUAGCUCAAUCCAGUUACUAGAGGACUCCAAUAACGCGCAGUAUUUGAGCAUUUUAACCCUACUGGUCAGC